rnacentral:lncRNA from 1 species
UUUUUUUUUUUUUUUUUUGCAUCUUAUUUGCCGAUUAGAUUCAAUGUCAUUAAUCCAUAAAGUAAUUUGGGCAAUAUCCCCAGCAAAAAAAGAGCCGCAUCAGAAAUGGAAAGAGAAAGAGAUGAAAUAAACUAAAAACUGCCAUCAGAUUAACAAACGAAGUGCAUAUUAACCAAAUUAAAGAAAAGAGAAAACGAAUCAAGGCAAGUGAAAACUUCGAUUUUUUUUUUUCUUUUUAUCAAUAGCUGCAACAGAAGAUCCAACAGAUAAGUAAAAUCCGAAAACAGCCACUAGAAAAAACUUGUGGGUCAUCUUUUUUCUGAGCUAAGUUAAAUGAGUUUAACGUUUCAAGAAGUAAUUUUCUUUAUCUUGGGUGGGUGAGGUUAUUAGUAAUUACCGAGGAGGAAGAAGAGUGGCGAAGAUGAUGAGGCCAAGAACAAGUCCAAAGAGAGGGCACCCAAUAUGCAAACAUCUCACCAUACAGAAUGGUCAGAGCCCAAAUUAUGCUCAAAAACACCGUCAACCUCCUCUCCUUUCCCAUUUCCCCGACGAUCUUUUGCUCACUCCCAGUCGGACUUCGUAGUUUAACUCCGCUGCUGAUGCUGAUACUACUUGGAACUUGGAACUUGGAACUUGGAACUUGGAAGGAAGAAGAAGCAGUACACUGUUCCUUUUCUUUUUUGUAUCCCUUUUACCUUUUUUUUUCCCCUUCCAAAGAAAAACACAAAUAUUCUAUUUUGCCCUCCAUAUUAGUUAUUUAUUUGUUGGUUGUUGUUUGACUUCGUAUUACUCCCACCUUUUACCCCCUUCCCAUUUAACGCACCAAAAACGAAAACCAUACGAAACUACCGCUAGUAGCAUUUAAAAUGAAACUCAUUCCAAUUGAUCUUACUACACAAACAUAUAAUACUUGUAUGAGCAUGGCUGAAAUUGAAAUCCAUUACUUGCCUUGGAACCUAGCUGCCAAACACAUCCAUACCCUUAAUUUAUAGUAUUCUACUACUAUCGUUUCCUACUUCAUUCAAACUUAAGUAUUAAAACUUGAAAUUUAUAUCUAGGGAAUCGGUUUGAUGCACAUUAAUUUUACUUUUGCUUGAAAUAUAAACAAACUGAAUUUGAAUGAAAUUUCAAACUCAUCAAAAUGAUUAAGCAAACUUGAAACUUGGAUCAUGCAAGUUUGAAUGCAAUUACAACAAUUGUUGAAUGUCUUGAAUUCAAGAUCUCUUAUUUACAAUUUCUCCCGCUCUACCACCCAACCCAACCUGUCCCUCCCCUAACUAUUGUUGGAAUUUUUUUUAUAUAUUGUAACUGAGGUCUAAAACUUGAGAUCUCUCGUCUUAUUACCUAGCCAAACCCAACCCAAAUUUCCUCUAGUUAUUGUUGGAUUUUUUUUUUUUAAGUAUAAAUAGGAGAUUUCGAAUUCAGAAUCUCUCACUUACACUUCCUUCCCUCUUACCAUUCAACUCAUCUCUCUCCCACCUAUUGUUGAAUUUAGUUGCCUUUAGAACUGUAAGCAAAUUUUAUUGAUAACAUAUUUUCUGAAUAAAAUAAAGCAAUAAAAGGGAAACCAGGGAAAAAAAAAAUUAAACCUGCGCACUAAAACUUUAAAAGAAGAUCAAACUUGAAUGGGAUUUGAAGAAAUAAGCGGAAUAUGGAUAAUACUUAUUGCAUAUUACACUACUACUUGACACUUGUUACUCAAAGCAUAUUUCUUGCUAACUUGUAGGUAUCACGAAACCUUUGAUUGUUAUUUUUUUCUAUGCCAUGUUUCUUUGAGAAAAUGAUCAUUUUGGGCCCCCUGUGUUUAGAAUUUUAGCCAAUUUAGUUCUUUAUCAAUCAAUCCUACCAAUUUAUUAUUAUUUAUCAAUCUUACCAAUUUAUUACAUCAACUUUAUAAAAUAAUGUCAAUCUGGGACCUGUAAUGAAAAAUUAGAAAAUUCUAACAAAUUUGGUCAUUGGGCAUGUGAACCUUUUAAAAUGACCAACUCAUCCCUUUGCCAUCCAUCCCUAGUUGUCUCCAAUUUGGCUCCUUAGAUGUCACCAUCUAGGGCUGCAAACGAGUCGAGCCGAAUCAAACUUUGAGUUAAUCAAGUCGAGUCUCGAUUAAAUUUUACCAAACUCAAACUCGAGCUCGAACUCGACGAGCCAGCAAUUUUCAAGCUCGAGCUCGACUCGAAUCAAGUCGAGCCGAGCUCGAGCUCGAAAAAAAUAAAAAAAAAUUAUUUUAUUUUUUAAAAAUAAAUAAAAUAAUAUUUUUUCUUAAUAAAUAAUAAAAUAUUAAGGAUAUAUACGUAAUUUUACUAUGAAAAUAAAAAAUAAAAAAAAAUUAUAUAUAAUAUACGUAAUUUUAUUAUUAAAUAAAAAUAAAAAUAUAUAUAUACUCAAGCUCGGGAGCCUGCUCACGAGCUAACGAGCUUAAUAUUCUGAACUCGAGUUCGAGCUCGAGUUUGACUCGAGCCAGCUUGAGCUCGACUCGAGCCCGAUAUUACUCGAGCUUGACUCGAGCCGCUCGCGAGCGACUCGAUUCGUUUGCAGCCCUAUCACCAUCUAUCAAUUUAAAUCCUCAAAUCCACAAAAUAAAAUCAAAUAGGUAAUGAUAUAUAAAUUAAUAGACAAUGAUAUAUAAGAGACCAAAUUGAAGAGACUUGAAGAUUCGAGACUAAAAUGGUCAUUUUCAAAUGUCCAUUUGCUGAUCAAUUUCAAUAGAAUUAUUUAAUUUUCUAUUAGAGAAUUUUUUUUUUAAUUUCAUAAAGAUGAGAGAAUAAAUUGAUAAAUUUAAUAGAUAAAGGACUAAAUUGAUGAAGACUCCCAAAAUGGUUGGUUGGUUUCCCUUGGUUUUUUCAUUUUUCCUCCUCAAUCUCUUUAACAUUUGAAAAUUAAAAAAAAAACAUUUUAACCGUUUAUUUCCCCUCCAAUUAAAAGUUGGUAACUGUGUCAGUAUUUUCUUUCCAAGUAUUUCCGUCCAAACGAGGCCUUGGGGCAAGGUUUCAACUUUCUCAUACUGUAGGAUUGGCGCCAUAAAUCGGGAGAAAAACGGAGGAGUUAGCGCCGCCGCCGCCGCCACCUCAAGCCGCAGGCAUUUGUUAGUAGUAUUACUUAGUACUAAUAGUUACUGGGUGGGAUGAGCAGCUGUUUGUGGAUUGAAAUCCGCCGCCAUAGGCCGCCAGGUACCGGUGAAAAUGCCCAAACCAAAAUGCAGCAGCAUUUUAACAAGUACGAAUACGGAAUGAGAAUGAGAUGAGUCCUUUCUUUACUUUCUUCCCUGUCAAUUCACACACACGAACAAAUAGACCCUUUUUUUUUUUUCCUUUUUGGUUAUUAUGGUGCUUUGUCUAUCUUAACAUUUUUCUGGUUUUUUUUUUCUUUUAAUUUUGAGAGUCUAUACCUCGUGCUAAAUCAUCAAAACCCUUUCAACCACAUUCUACUUGUCCCGGCCCCUGCUGCUUCACAAACUUUUAUACAGACGACAAUUAGCUCUUGAUUUUUCGUUGGAGCAGCAGAAGGUUGCGGCUGUUGUUCUUUUGCUUGUUAGCUUAAAUGCGAGAAUCUGGAUAAUCAAUUCAAGUUUCCAGAAGUCAUCUUGUAGCUGUAAGCCAAACUCUGACAAACCUUACUCAUUUUCGUCAUUACUGGCCAAAACCAUAGUUAAAGAGAGGAACUCAUCGGUCCUUUUAGACUUCAAGAAGACACUCCUGCAUGAAACUACAGCGAUCAAUUCCUUCUAGUUGACAAUAUUAGAAGUGUAUGCUUGACUAACUGGUAGCAACAUUUAGCUUUAUACAAUCCUCCACUUGAACAUUACGUAUAUUUUUCUCGUUUCAGAAGGGGGUAAAAAAAAAAGGGAAAAAAACUGCCAUUGACGUUUUGUAUUAACAACAAAUUCUGGAGUUUCUCUAUUCAUUUAUACAAUUGCCCUUCUUUUGAUGCCUGUCUCUUGGACCCUAUGUCAUGGAGCCAAUCAACUACUUCUGUAAUGGUUGGCCGCUUGACAGGAUUUUGGUUGACACACAUGCAGGCAACAUCAAGCACUUGCAGCAUAUCUUCUUCAAAGCCCUUGCCGUGCAGUACUGGAUCAAAGAUUUCAUCUUGUUUCCCAUCAUUUCUCAUUUGCUGCACCCAUCCAACCAAUUCUCUUGACACUUUAGGCUUGAAUAUCUCCAUAGGCCUCUUGCCCGUCAGUAAUUCAAGUAUGACAACUCCAAAACUGUAAACAUCCCCUCUCAAAGUGGCCAUCCAUGAUUGACUAUACUCUGGUGGGAUGUAACCUAGGGUGCCUACCAGUUCAGUGGUUACGUGUGUUCGGUAGGGAAGAAUCAAUCUAGACAAUCCAAAAUCUGCCACAUGUGCUUUAAAAUUCUCAUCCAGCAGGAUGUUACUGGAUUUUAUGUCGCGAUGCACGAUAUGUGGCUCACAUAUCUGGUGCAUGUAUGCCAAGCCACAACUUGCACCCUGGGCAAUUUUUAGUCGGGUUGGCCAAUCAAGUUGGGCUGCUCCAUCGGGCUUCUCAUGUAACCAGUAGUCUAGACUACCAUUCUCCAUAUACGAAUAUAUCAGUAAUCUAAACCCAUCAUGCACACAGUAACCUUGCAAAGCAACUAGGUUCUCGUGCUGGGCUGUUGAUAAUGCUUCCACCUCUGCUUUGAAUUCCCUUUCCAUCAACCCUGUAUCUCCUGAAAGCUUCUUAAUAGCCAGCUGUGUGCCAUUUGUCAAAGUUGCUUUGUAAACCAAACCAAAACCCCCACAGCCAACAAUGUUUGCUUGGUUGAAGUUGUCUGUGGCUUUCAGUAACUCUGAUACUGUGAGAUCCUUAACAUCCUUUGUGUUAUCAGGAAACAAGACAACUAUGCUGGUGUCUUUUCCAAACUCAGUGGACAGUCCAGAAUUAGAGUUGUAGGAAAGUGUAUCCAGAUCAGUUUUUUCAGCAUCGCCUUUAGGAAGGAUCCUUCUCUUGGAAAAUAUCCAAAAUGCCACUACAGAAACAGUGAAUCCAAUGCCAAAACAGAUUCCAAGUAUGAGUCCAAUAAUUAUUUUCCUCUUUGGGCUUUUUCUUGUUGCUGAGGGGUUUGUAGUUGGUGAUUGAUUGCUACAAGGGCGUAGAAAUCGGCCACACAACCCUGAAUUUCCUUCAAAGCUGGCAUUGGGGAAGGUAUCAAACUGGCCUCCUGCGGGUAUUGGGCCUUGAAGAUUGUUGUUUGCAACGCUGAAAGAAGACAGAAAAUGGAGGUUCCGGAGUGAAGCUGGAAUUUCACCAGAAAAAUGGUUUUUAGAAAGGUCCAACUUUUCCAAGUUAGUAAGAUAAGAUAUCGUGUUGGGAAUGCUGCCUGAAAAAUUGUUGUGACUGAGAUCCAGGACAUGAAUGCGCUUCAAUUGGCCAAUCUCAAUGGGUAUGUUGCCACUGAGGUUAUUCCCAUUCAGGUAUAUAGCAGGGGGGAGGUUAGACACCUGAUUGUACUGUAAGCUGGAGACAUUCUCAGGCUGAACAAAGACUGGCAACUCUAAGUAACUCUGAUCCACUUGAUCAGCACCCUGCUGCCUCACUAGUCUUGGGAGUCCAGUAAGUUCUGCAGGGAAGUUUCCUGAGAGGAGGUUCUGAGAUAAAUCUAAGUAAAAAAGGUCUGUUAGAUUUCCAAGCCAACUUGGAACUAAGCCUGUGAGGUUAUUAACUGACAAGUCGAGGACCUCAAGCUUUUGCAGCUUAGUCAGCCAACUGGGAACUUGACCAGAGAAUUGGCAACCACCUAAACCAAGGAUCUGGAGAUUCUGAAAUCCUUCAGAAUCAACUAAACCGUCAUCACCUGGCAACGAUUCAUUAUAAAAAUUCUUUGACAGAAUCAGUGUACUGAGAUUCUUGCAACCUGUCAAAAUUCUGAUUGCACUUGUGACAUUGGUUAGUGUGUUAUUGGAAAUUGAGAGAAAAGACAGAGAUUGUAGUGCAUGUAUCUGGGGUGGGAUCUCUCCGGUCAGGUGAUUAGUGGCCAGGCGAACUGCUGUCAAUGAUCUGCACGAAAAAAGGCUUACCGGCAGGCUACCAUUGAAAAAAUUAUUCCCCAAGUCAAUCGUGACAAGUUGGGUGAGUUUGGAGAAAUCAAAUUUGGAAAGAUCACCAACAAGUAAGUUGACUCUUAGGUUGAGCAGUUUGAGUCUUGUGCAAUUUGUGACAGAUGGUGGCAGAGUACCAUGAAGUUUGUUUAUGUGAAGGAGUAGAUUUUCCAGGUUGGAGAGCAUUCCUAUUUCUGGAGGGAUUGUACCUGUAAUCUCGUUAGCAUAGAGUUCAAAAAUCCUGAGCUUGUUGAGUCCGGCAAUAUCUUGGUUGAUUGAUCCAUUCAGUUUGUUUCCAGGUAAAGAUAUCUCUUGCAGAGUCAACAGGCUAUAAAUAGCAAGAGGAAGAGGACCUGAGAGAGAAUUGAAACCUGCCCGUAGAGUCUCCAAAUUUAAACAAUAUUUAACAUCUUGGGGAAUCGAGCCACUGAAAUGAUUGAAAGAGCAAUCAAGGAGUCUAAUGGAGGGUGAAAUGCUGCAGAUGAAUGAAGGAAUGGACCCAGAAAAGCUGUUGUUGCUGAUAUUGAAACUUGCCAAGUUUAUUGCUUCCUGGAGAAAUGUAAAUUGGACGGUUCCAUUAAAUUUGUUGCUGGAGAAGUCCACUUGCUGGAUUGUUGUUGGAAACUUAUCGGAAGGCGGUAAAUGUCCGGAGAGUCGGUUGUAGCUCAAAUCAAUCGCCUGCAGGUGAUUGAGGGACACGAAGAAUCCAUUUGGGAGAGGACCAGAAAGGAGGUUGCGUGAGAGGUUUAGUUGAGAAAGACUGCUGAGGUUGGCGAGUGAAGGAGAGAUGGUUCCGACAAGCCCUCUUGAUGCCAGCCUUAAACCGGCGACUCUACCGCUUUUGUCACAAAGAACGCCUUCCCAGAUGCAGCAAUCAACCGAGAUAGUCCAAUUCAAAGGAGAUGAGGGGCUGGCUAUGUUGGUGGAAAAGGAUAAUAAAGAGUCACGAUCCAGGCGAUUGCAGGAGGCAUGGGUGGCAGUCGCAAAGCAAGAGAGAGUUAUGACAAGCAGAGACAGCAGCACAUCCGAAAAGAGGGAGCCAAAGGGAUUGACUGUGGUAAGGUGAGACGAAGGAGAGGAAGAAGGGACAGAGGAGGACAAGAGCAUGGCUGCCCUGUGAUGGCGAUGAUGAUGAGGAGGAGGAGGAGGAGGAGGAGUCAGCCCAGAUUGCCUGCAGGUUUCCUUAUCAUCUUUGAUCAUAUUAUUAUUAGAAGAAGAAGACAGUCGAAGAUGCCAAAAGAUACUACUCUGUUUUAAUCAAUCAUGGGGGUAUUCUAACCCUUCCAUCUUAGUUUGUGCAGACUUUAGUCAUACCCCCCAUGAGGGAGAGAGAGAGAGAGAGAGAGAGGAUAUAGUGGUUGAUGUUGACAUGGAGCAAUAUUAAAAAGCUGUGGUCUGAAUUCUUAAAAAGCGUUUACUUUUGGGACGGCUGGCUAGGUGGUGGACUUUUCUGUAUAUUAUGAUAUUUGUAUAGGAAGAUGGAGGAAUGAGGUAAAAGCGUGUAGGAUGGUAAUGUUGUGUUGAAACCUGGGAUGGGAGAGAUAAAUAGCGUAGAGAGGCUCCGUCUGCGUAUCUGGAACUUGCUUUGCCCGGAUAAGGACAUAUUAUUAUAGUGGGCUCUGCACUACUUUUUUGUAUUAAACUAAACCUUCUUUCAAGUCGCACUGAACUGGAUUCGUAUGCUCCCACCAAAGUUGAUCAAUCAACUUGUUGUUGUUAGCAUACUAUAUUCAUAUUCAUCCUUCUACCUACACAUAAAACUACCACUAAGUAGCAAGCAAUCUCGUUGUCGUUUGAUUAAUAACUUUAACCACGGGUUGCGCGCGGAUGUCAUCGCAAUAUUUGACACAAUCAUUUUUGCAAUCUACUACUAAUCUUGAAUCUUGAUCCCCCACCACCACCACCUUGGGAAAAAGGAGUGUGUGUGUGUGUGUGUGUGUGUGACUCCUUUGCUAGUUUUUAUAUGCUCAAAGCCGCUGAAUGGCUCUUGGGAUCAAAAGAAAAUUGCUGUAGAGAAGAUGGAUCACGAGAUACGUAUUGGGUAUUUUACUAGUAGUAGUAGUGUUUACUGCCUGCGGGGGCUGGGUGCUGAUGUAUGGUUGAGGAGGAGGAGGAGGAGGAGGAGGUUGACAUUUGGUUAAUGGUGGGUAAAAGUGUAAAAUGAUGGUGCCCAGGGGCACAUGUCAUGUCAAGUGUAGUACAACUAACUACAAAUAGAAUAUUUUGGUCUUCUCUUCUUCUCUCUGUACCUAAAUUUAUUCCCCCAGUCCAAACGUAUUACGGGACUUCAAUCAAACUUGCAGCCGUUGACCAGCCAGGAAAAAAAGAAAAACUCUCGCUUCUUUUCUUUUUACGGGAUGCCAAAUUCAAGCUGUAGCAAGUAACUCUUUUUACGGGGUGCAGCCAAGUCAUGCAUUAUUGUCCUGCAAGGAGUUCUCAAAUUGUUGGUUUUAUGUAAUAUUUAGAUCCCUGAACAACGUGAGUUGACUUUUGAUGUGCAUGAAUUUGGCUCUUCCGUCCAACAACAAAAAAAAUGCUGUUUGAACUCAAGAAACAGAGGGAGGGACCAUUUCGUCCCUUCACCUCCACCAUCCUACGCCAAAAAAAAAAAAAAAAAAAAAAAAAAAAAAAAAAAAAAUCACUCACUUGGUACUUUGGUCAUAACGUCCAACUCCCCCAACCCGGUCUGGUCAGAUCAGAACCUGGCCAAUUGCUGCCCAUUAAUCUGAUUUGAGUGUGUUAUAAAAUAUUUCGGGAAAAAAAAAAAAAGAGAAGAAAAAGUACUCUGCAUUAUUUAUUUAUUAUUAAAAGGGAUUGUUAGUCUGACAAACCCCCUAUUUGUUCCAGACCCAUUUGACGUUUUGUUUAAGUAUAUAAAAUAAUUGAUUGAAAACCGCAUGUGGACAGAGCAAGCAAGAGGACAGACAGUUUCUCAAGGCCAGAUCCUCGUCGGGUCAUGUCUGGAUGACCAUUUCCUCACCAAUAUUGCGCAGGUCUACGUUGUAGAAAUGCAUUCCCCACCAAGAAAUAAUAAUGUGGAAUAAUUUGCCAUGGAACAUUUUGGGAAAAAAAAAAUUUUUUUUUUGGGGGGUUCUAGGUAUUGGGAUCUUUUUUCUAUUUUUUAACCCCCUUGAUAUUUGGGAUGAAAAUCCCUUUUAUGAAACUGUAAAUUUAGACGGAAAAACAAAAAGAAAACACUUGGUUUUGAGAGAAAUUCUUCCUUUUUAAAAAAAAAAAAAAUAGAAUUCUUCUAUUAGUUUACCAGCUUCUGCCUGGCUGCAUGGAUUAAAGAUACACUGCAGCCAGUCUAUUCUUUUUUUUUUUUUUUUAUAACGAUAAUAUUUAUAUAAUUUAAUCUAUCCUACUAUUAUUCUACAAGAAGAGUACAAUACAAAGGUCUCAUUAGGAGGAUGCCUUCCGGCGACAUGCACGCGUAAAUUCACAAAAAGGGGCGCAAGCAUAGCAUUCCGUCCACCUCUUUGGAGAAGAGUUAAAGGAUUUGGCUAAUCGCUAACCACUAAACACUCCUUAAUAGUCUUAAUCUUGUUUAAAGAGCGCAACUGAUCCGAGAAAAUAAUCUAAAUAAAGGGGUGCAGUAAAAAUAUAAACGCGUACGUUCACGUGGCAAUCAGGUGAAUUUUAAGCGUACUAAUGAAGAAAAACACAAAAGCGGAUAAAAAUAGAGAACAGAAAAAGUGGGAUCAGCAAGUACGGCAUCUCUUACCGCUCAGCGGGCCGAACUCAGAAAAUAUUGGACCAAGAACCAAUUAAUGUCGAAGUGCGCCUGUUUCGUAAUGGCCCCAUGCGCCCGCAAUGAUGGUGGUGGAAGCCAAGAAAAAGAGCCCGAAAUUAGGCGUUUUGUAUUUGACCAAACAGGAGUCAUUUUUGGUCCAUACAGCACAAUUUAUUGUGCAGGAUAUGAAUGAAUUGGCCUUCCAAAAUAAGAACAGGAGUCAUUUUUGACCAAACAGGAGUCAUUUUUGGUCCAUACAGCACAAUUUAUUGUGCAGGAUAUGAAUGAAUUGGCCUUCCAAAAUAAGAACAGCAGCAAAACUUCCACUUCUUGAUUUGGAACACCUAAACUUUGUCAACUGAGAAGCGAUUUCUUUUCUUCUCAGCACCCCCAAAAAAAAAAAAAAAAAAAACCAGCUUGAUCUAAUGCUGGUUGAAAAGAAUUCUAAUCUCUCAUUACAAUCAAAGCCAGAAAAUACAAGAAUUGACUAUUUACCACCCUUUUUUUCCAGGCGCACCGAGCCGACUGCUCUUUUGGAAGCGUGAAGCUGCAUACAUGUACGAGUGAGUACGCAAAAUCUAUAUCCCGUGCCAUAAAACAGGCCGAUGGACUGACCAACGACCAUGAUGCUUUCCCAAAACCAGGAACCAAUACUGUUGCCUGGAGCGUCACAUCCUUCCUCGCUACCUAUUUAAUUGUCAUCUGCAACAAGAUGCACAAGCAGAAAUUAUUACAAAAUUCCAUGCUAAGAAGCCUAGUGAUUCUGCAGUUUCAUCCUAACACGUUUUUAGCUUUGGCAAGUCUAUAAAACUGUUGGAGACGACCUAUAAUGACCAAGAAGGCAAGAGUAAAUGAAACACUAAGCCAACUACCAAAGCAUGUUGCAAUUUCUUGAUAGCCUUCAACAUAGUUUUGCGCCUAUGUGCAGGAAAUCCACAACUUAUUGGGCGGGCCAGAGGAUGUUAUUAGUAAACCUCAUCCCUUGCUUUAGUCCCUAAAUUUGCCUUGUCCACUGUUAACACGGCUUUUGCUUUGUAAAAAACACAGAGAUAAAUAUUACCAGUGUCGAGAUACUAUUACUGUCUCAAAAUUAAGCAUCCGUGACUUACCAUUUGAGGGAUCAACAUGUACAAAGAAACUCGCAGCAACAAUGAGGUAGCAUAGAAUAAGCAUCAAUCCUUUAAAAUAGUUUGAUGUCCCUUCCUGCAAUUACCAGAGAAACGUUAUCAAGUGGUCCUAAAAACUACUUUCCAUCAGGGAGCGUUACUGUCCCACUAAAGUGAUUUUCUUAUUAACCACUGAUGAUAAUAGACAGAUAAGACAUUUCUGAUAUACUAUUAAAUAAUAGCAUCAGUCAAUUUCAUCUUGCACCAUUGUACCAUUUCACUGUUAUACCCCAUAGUUUUUGUCCAAGUCAAUUCAAUCUAACUUUGUACAUGUUUCAGCAAGAAAAAACGUCUAGCAGAGUUUAUGUUUUAGAUUCCCCAAUCACAUUGAGAUAACAAUCAGGAAAUAUGGAGAUUACAAAAGAAUAAUAUAUGCAAACCUGCAACAUAAAUGCCACCACCAACACUGUAAUGAAAAGUGUAGCAGUUUCAAACAGUUGGAAAUUCAAGUCCAUCCGUUGCCCCAUAAACCAACCAACAACAACACAAAAUGGAAUCUGCAUUUAUCAGCAGUAUAAGAUUAAUACGCUACAAUGAUUUUAUAGGCUAGCUACAGCAAUUAAAUAAGAAUAUCCAUUUUAGUAACAAAAAUUUUCCAUGUAUGGCAUCACUUUUGUAUCCAAGGAGGUCGUGGCAAGAAAAGGUAGCAGAUUUUCUUUUUGUCCUCCCUUUCUUGGCAAAAUAUCACAUUUGGUUAAAAAGAAGUUCAAUAAGGUUCUGAAGUCCUGACAAAUGUCAAGGUAUUCGGGUUUAAUUAACUGGGUACACAGGUCUUACCACAAACAUUGAUAUCUGAGUAGAAGAUCCAAUGGCAACUCCAAGUGUAAUGUCCUGCAAAAACAGACUCUAAAUUGACAUGCAUUGCAACAAAUAAGAUCUAGUCAAGAAAAUUUUUCAAAACUCACAAGCUUAUCUUUCAUUGCAAACAUGAUAGCACUUGCAUGUUCUGCAGCAUUCCCAACUAUUGGAAGCAAAAUGACACUAAUAAAAGCCAUAGGUAGGUUCAGGGCAUCAGAUGCUCCCUGAAAAAAUUAAGCAACAAAUUCAAGUAUAAUGGCAUAAGCAAUCAUGUUUUAGCAUGACAUUCUAAGCAUCUGUCAACACAUUGAGUAGGAGUACAAGGAAAUCACUGUUAGUUAUAGCCAUGUAGCCUUGUACACUUGAAACUCUUCACGGAAAUCUCAUAGCAUUGUGUUUUUAGCCUUGUAGCUCCUUCACUUGGCAUAGGUUUUAAAAACUAAAACAUCAAUUUGGAUCCAAGGAAUGCUAAAAGAGAAACCAGCAACAGAUUCCUUAGUCCAACAAAGUCAAGUUACUAUCAAGUCAAACACUUUCAGUCUAGAAGCUAAUCAUCAAACAGUUUAUACAACAUGUCACACAAUAAAUAGGAAAAUGUAAGCUAUUAAAAACUCCAACAACUUAAUUCAAACAGUUUCUUAAUGAGUGAAACCAAUUAUAUCCAAAAAAAAAUAAACCAUUACAUUUAUACACUUUCCAUCAUUAGCUUCACAUUUUCAAAUACUUAACACCCGAACUACAUCUUAACAAGUGUCCAACAGGCACCUGUUAGACAGAUCCAUUUAUUCCAGAGAAAGUUAAACAGAAAACAAAGAUAAUUCUGGAGAAAUCUUAACAACUGAUGAAGGAUUGAAGCCCUGGAUAUUGAUAUAUAUGGCCUAUGAUUGUAUCCAUUCCAAAUCAUUGUUACUCUACCAAUUCAUUGAAUAUAUACAAAACAUCAACUGUCUAGGUAUUACCAUUUAUAUAGCAAUCCAACAGUAGACCAGAAACCAUCUUCAGUAUACGAUACCUCAUAUAGUAAUCCAACAGUAGACCAGAAACCAUCUUCAAGAUAACGAAACUAGCAAUGUUUAACUCUACCAGGUAUCCAAAAAGGUAUUUGAAAUUUUAGGAACACUAAACAUGGUAAGUUUAAGACAGAAGCCCAACAAAUUAGCAAGGGACAAAAGAACAAGAGAAGCAGCAAUGAAAAGAAACGGCUGAGAUUACCUCAAUGGCAUCAACAAGGUAACCCGAUAGUAUAGAAAUCCAUAAAGUCAAAAUUGCAAGCCAACCAAUAGCUUCCCACUGGUUAAUUUCAGGAGCCUCAUCAGAAUCUUCUGCAUUAUUGUCCUGCUCCUGAAGAAAGGCAGAAAAAUUUAUCCAUUGAAAAAUGGUUUGAGGCUUUUGGAUUGCACAGCUGCUACUUGUCUAGUAAUCAAAUUAUAAAUCAUUUCACUGAACAAAAUUUUACAUAGUGUGCAUAUCAUGAGCUAUACAGAUGCGAUGUUUCAACAAAGAGAAGGUCAAAAGUAUCAAGGAAAGACCAAAAGAAUAAGUCAAUAGAGGUACCCACCGAAUCAAUUAUAUCAUAUAGGUUCCUGUGACUUCUCAGCUGAAAAAAAAGAUAGCUAGCAUAUGCCACCAGCAUUAUACAGCUACUAAAUCUGGAAAGUGCAAGUUCUGACUUCCCAGAAUGCAGCUCUGUGUGGGUAAAGUGAAGAACGGCUGGAAACAGUAAGCCCAUAACAGCCAUCAGCAAUAAUCCUGAAUUCACCAGGGCAGUGGCCUAAAACAAUCCAAAAACUCCAGUUUUUCACCAUGGAUCUUUAUGCUAACUCCACCACAUGAUUAAUUACAUCAAAUAAGAUGAUGUGCUAGCAAAGAAUUAGCAGCAUUCUCAGCAGAUAUGCAUUGAUAUGAAUAAAAAGUGCACCUUAUUAAAUUCCUGGUCUUUCUGGCGAUGAACGAUGCCACCACAGAAGAAGGCGCAUCCAAGCACUAGUAGCAUAUUUGACAAAACAGAACCAAGUAGUGAUUGUUGAACAACUCUAAUCAUCCCAUUCUUCAAUGCAUACAUGGAAAUUAUCAUUUCUGUUGCAUUACCAAAUGUGGCAUUUAGAAGGCCUCCCACUGCAUAUUCACCCAAAAAUUAUUUAUUUCUGAUAAAGAACCAGGUUAAAGAAAAACAUAGCAUGCAACAGAGUAUGUAUGUGAAGACAUGGAUUCAUAGUUUUCCCUUGGGCGCAUAGGAGAACCUUUGUAACUGACCCAAAAAAAAAAAGCUUAGCCAGCAGCUAACAGCUAACAAAAGCAGACUUCACUAUAAUCAAAAGAGUCCUCAUUGCAGAGAUGAUGAUGAUGAUGAGAACAAGAAGAAGAAGAAGAAGAAGAAGAAGACCAAGAAAGAAAGCUUUACCUGUAGACCCAGUAUAGAAUGCUAGUUGCCUGCAGUAGCAGUUGAUGGAAUACAAUUUCAGUGACUGUCUUUAAGAUAUGGAAAAUAGAAGGAGCUAAAGCAGCUGAAAGCUGGAAACUGGAGAAGCCAACACUUACUCAGUUGCAUACCCCAGACGCUCAGCCAAAGGUGUAAUUCCCACUAAGCUGAAGAAGAAAACCCAUCCCUGAGUAUGAAGCAGUCCAAGAAAUAAAUGUAUGAGCAAAGUACUAUGUCUGAUACAGCUGCGACUGCAAAUUUAAAUUUUAUCACACUCUCUUCCAUAUUAGAUCUAAUGAAAAGAGAGAUUGAGGAGACAAUUUCAUGUCCCUUACCUGCUUUCCCGUUAAAUAGUGGAGCAGUAUUGCAAGUGGUCCAAAAGGGAGUAGCAUAUUGAUCUUUGCUUUAAUUAGAACAACGUAAAUACUCCUGAGGGGGCUGAUAUGGUUCAUCUUUCUUAAGACCCAUCGAUGGGAAAGAUGUCUGGGAGAUGUGAUCCGAGACGUCUCACAAUCCGUGGACUGCAUUUUAAUUGCAGAAUGGGACGAACUAAACGGAAUCUCCUCAUCAGAAUCAAGGUCUACCUUGUCCUCCGUCGACCUCAUCUCUACAGAUCCCAUGGUAGCUCCACUGCCAAUCCAGACACUAAAAAGAGCAAAAGAAAGGCAGUGAACUUUGAUUCAAAAUGCUAUCAACAAAUAAGCAGCACAGACCAAAAUCAGUACAAUGGCUCACCCGAAUCACCUCAAUGAAUCAACUAAGAUAAUUAACCAUAAAGCAAGAGUAUCCCUACAAGGAUAGAAAGUUCUCCAAUUAGCGAAAUACUCAAUUGGGAAUUUGGGACGACCAAAUAUGGACCGGUUAGCGGAAAACUGCUGUAAGAUAUGAACCGCUGGAACUAUUUUGUUCUGAUAAAGUUCUAACUUUCUACCGUUAAGCAAUUACCAAAAACUACAUUUCAAUCAACGAGUUGUGGGGUGCCUCCUGAUUUCUGAGUUACUCAAGCUAGGAGGUUAAAACAAAAACCAGAAUGGAUGAGAAAAGGUGGGUAAAUCCUAAGAAAGGCAACUUAAGUACCCAGCUAGUCAAAACUAGGGUCAACUCACACCAGCAAUGAUUAAUGUAAAGAUCCCGUCUUUAUCUACGCAGAUCGCAACCCAACAUAUGUGAUUAGAAAAAAAUGAAGCUCGAAGCAGCAUAGAAAAGAUAAUUAUGAAUGAAAAGAGAAGCAUAGAGGAGCCCAGAUCAGGAUUCUAGAGAGCAAAAAAUGAGGCAGUUAGAAAGAAGAAAAGACAAUAAAGAUACUUACAUUCGUUUAACUAUCUAUAAAAAUCUUACCUGGUUAGGUCGAAAAUCUUAUGAAUAAUCUAAUUCCACAGUUUCCUUGAACUAAUCGGGCAACUAGCUUGAACCCAAGAUGUGGUAGGUGAAGAAAAAUUCAAAUUUGUAUAAAAAGCAAGAAACCACAGACAAAAGAGAGAAGGAGGGAGAGAAGAAGAAAGAGAGGGGUAAGAAGGGAAAAUGCGAUAAAUUUCCUUGUUCCGGAAGGACAGAAAGAGAUUGAGAGAGAGAGGAAAUGGGGGAUGGCGUUAAGUGGCCGGCAAGGGGCAGCAGGGGGAAUGGGUUGGGGAAGACGAAGCUUCUGGGAAGUUUAGCUUCUUCAGACUUGUCAUUAUUAGUUAGUAAACAAUUCAUAAGGGGGUUUUUUCUUUGCUUUUUUCUUUUAAAUUUCUGGUUUACAGACAUGAUAAUAUUUAAAAAUGAAUGUCCAUCAUAAAUGAACGAACUUUGUUGGGACCAAUCUAAAGUAGCAUACAUAAUAUUAGUACGUACUUGCCAAUGGACGAGAAAAUAAUCCGGACGGAUACGUAGAUUCUAGUAGUGCUAAAAUGUCUACCUCUGCUGUGCAAAAUGAGGACUGUAUAUUGGUAAAGAAAGAAAGAUGGUACCGGCUACUAAGUACGCCGACAAUCCAAACCAAAGAUGUGGAGCCGAAGGGUUGAAGACCCUGACCAACCACAAACCGCCCGUAGUACUCAUACUUUCUUUUCUUUUCUUUUUUGGCAACUCCAUUAUCGUACCACUAAAAACUUGUACCAUUUCUCUCCGCUGGUUUUCACCUUGGUCGAGAGCACGUAUCAGCUUCAGCGUCACUGAUGAGAUUAUUCUUUAUUGGUAUAAUUUCCAGUAAAUGGCCAUUAAACUAUUUAAAAUAGCCUGAAUUUGUUACCGAAUCUUUUUUUUUUUUUAAACUAAAAAGAUCCCUAAACGAACAUUUUGAUCGGUAAACUAACAGGAGGGGAAAAAAAAAAAGGCAAUUUGACCUGCUAUUGUAAGUUCUCAAGGGUAAAAAUGUCCAAUUCUGUCUGACACUACUCUAUUUUUCUUUAAAGAAAAACCAAACUUUAGAAGCUAAUCAGCACGUAUUUUGGCCAAACUUCAUCGGAAGUAAAUACAAUUAAUAAAAUAUAUAUAUAUAUAUAUAUACCAACAACAUUAAAUUAUUAUUGUCCUCUUCACCUUCCCCAUUCUUCUGCACAACUCCACCGUCGCACUCUCUCUCCUCUCCUCUCCUCCCACCCCCUCAUCUCUUUCAAUCCCCGCGACUAGAUCUGAAUUUUAUGAUAUAAACCUGGUAGAAUCCUUGAACCAGAUAAUAAAGAAAAUCACGAGCUAAGCAGAGAGAAGGAGCAAAAACCCAUCUCUUGGCUGCUUCAUUCUGUUAAAGCUAAAACUAUCCGAGUAAAUAUGGAAAAAAGAAAGGCUCGAAUCUGUCAAGAAAGUCAGGCAAAAAAAAUGAGCGUUGCUAUCGCUGUCCAAGUGUAUUUGAGCAUGGAGAGCCCAUUUCAACACAGGGGGUUGCUUAGUUAAGUUACAAGACCUCCAUGCUCGACUUACAACUCAGAGAGAAAGAGAAGUGUCAUCACAGCCUCAUAUCAAACAAGAAGACAAAAAGGGAAGCGAUGCCCAUGACGAUGAUGAUCUUGAUGCAAGGAAAGAGUGAAAAUGAUGAUAUUGAUAAAAGGGUGCGAGUGAUGGGAGAGAGGGAGGGAGGGAAAGAAAAGAGGAAGGGGCGAUGGUUAGGAAGGAGAAGGAGAAAAACAAUGCAAAGAGACAUUAUUGAUAAUGAAUGGUGACGGGAAGAAGAGAAGGAAGUGGCAGGGGAAAUGGUGGAGGGGAAGGAGAACAUGAAGGGGUGGCAGCUACGUUUUGAAACUAGCACCGACUGCUGACUCGGCAGAAUUCAGCACAAGAAAAAUAGAGAUUUGGUAUCCAAAUUUUGAUAUAUAAGCAGUUUUAGUACUCAAAUUUUGGACAAAAAUAAAUUUGGUACUCAAACUUUCAACUUUGAUUACAUGUAACACCCUUAACGGGCUAAUUACUCAGAUUAUGGUCGAGAAAAGAAAAAUUCGGACAUGUAUCGCUCUGACAAGCUUGUGGUACAAAUUUAUGGGUAUCGGGCCGUAUCAGCCCGGUACCAAAAGUCAGUCAAUUUUUUUUUUUUAGGUCUGACACCGCUGUCGAGCUGUGUCAGUCUGGUAGCGGGAAAAUUUUUUUUUUUUUAAAAAAGUUGUCGGCUACCGGGCUGACAUGUCAGCCCGGUAGCUGACAAUAUCUGAAGCCCGGCAGCCAAUCUCUCUGCCCGGCAGCCAGUCUAAAUUUUUAUACCGUUGCUUAAUGAGAUGAGCUCACAAUUGUGUACGUAGUCUAGUCGAUGAACGGGCUAGUAGGUAAAUGUCCAACAAGAAAGAUGUCCAACAAAAAGAAGGGCUGUUUGUUGUGAGACUCGAAGAGAGAAAAUACUUCUUAGUCAAUCUAGGCAACUCAGGUUCAUGCUACUAAGCCAUUGGAGUAUCCUUUGCAUUGAUCAGAAAAAACAAAAAUUCCAUGUAAAAACCGAAAAAUGAAUAUAUAGAUUUUUUAUUUUCCGGUAGAAAACAACUCACCCACCCCUAUUGGACGGAAAUAUCCACGGUUGAGUUUCUUGUCAAAUGGAGCUUUCUUACAUGUUUCCCUGAAAUUGUUUUUUUUUGACGAUUUUUAUACAUGUUUGUUGAGUCCAACUGGAUUGACUAUUAUUUUUAAAAAUUAUUUAUUGUAACAUUUUUGUGAUAUAAUAUACGUAAAAACAAUAAAUGAGAUUCUUGCAAAAUAUUUUACAAAAUGAAAUCAACUGCAACUUCUUAUUAAAUGUGAAUUUUCUAAUAAAAGUUGGGGUCCAUAAAGUCCAACUCCGUUUAAAAGGUGAAAAACAAGGAGGGAAAAAAAUUUUAUAAUACAUAAUAUAAAUAUAUUUAUAAAUGUAUAAAUGUAUAUUAUUAUAAAUGUAUAAAUUAUAAAUGAAUAUUAUAUAAAUGUAUAAAUUAUAAAUUUUAUAUUUUAUAUUUUAUAUUUUUAUACAAAUAUAUAUUUAUGCAUUUAUAAUACAUUUAUAAAUAUUUAUAAAUACAUAUAUUUAUAUAUUUAUAUAAAAAUAUAUAAAUGUAUUAUAUUAUAUAUAAUAGAUAAUAUAAAUAUAUUUAUAAAUGUAUAAGUGCAUAUUAUUAUAAAUGUAUAAAUUAUAAAUGAAUAUUAUACAAAUGUAUAAAUGAAUAUAUUAUAAAUAUAUAUUAAUGUUAUGUAUAAAUGUAUUAAUAUAAUUAAUAUAAAUGUAUAAAUGUAUUAAUAUUAUGUAUAUUAAUAUAAAUGUAUAAAUGUAUUAUAUUAUAUAUAAUACAUAAUAUAAAUGUAUAUUAUAAAUAUACAUAAAUAUAUAUAUAUUAUGUAUAAAUGUACAUUUAUAUAAAUGUAUAAUGUAUAAUGUAUAAUGUAUGUAAUAUAUAUUAUAUUAUAUAUAAUUUAUAUAAUAUAUAAUAUUUAUAUAAAUAUAUUAUAAAUAUAUAAAAAUAUAUUUUAAAUAAAAUAAAAUAUUUAUAAUAUGAAUAAAUAAAUAGGUAAAUAUAUAAUAUAUAAAUAUUUAAUAUAUAUAAUAUAUUAAUGUUAAUUAUUAAUAUUAUAAAUAUGGUGUUUAUAUAAUAUUUUAAUUUGUAAUAUUUAUUGUAUAUUUCAUUAUAUAAAUAUUUAUAUAAUAUAUAAUAUGUAAAUAUAUAACAUAAAAUUUACAAUUUGUAUAAUAUACAUAAUAUUGUAUAUAUAUAAUAUAAUAUACAUAAUAUUGUAUAUAUAUAAUAUAAUAUACAUAAUAUACAUUUAUACAUUAUUACAUAUUAUGUAUAUUAUAUAUUAUACAUAACAUUAUUAUACAUUAUUAUACACAAUAAUGUACAUAAUAGUGAAAGUACAUUAACAAUGUAUAUAUUAUAAUAUAAUGUACAUAAUAUAGUAUGUAUAAAUAUUUAUACAUUUAUGUAUACAAUAUUACAUAUUAUGUAUAUUAUAUUAUAUUAUGUAUAAUAUACAAUAUUAUGUAUAAUAUUAAUGUAUAUAAAUAUUUAUAUAAUAUAAUAUAUAAAUAUAUAAUAUAUAAAUAUAUAAUUUUCAAUUUGUAUAUUUCAAUUUAUAUUAAUAUAAUAUAUAUAAUAUACAUAAUUGAAAUAUACAUAUUAAAUAUGCAUAUUUGGAGUUGUUUUUGAUAUAAUGUUUGGAUAUGGUGUUUUUGAAAUUGUUUUUGAAAUAUAUAUUUACUGUAACAUUUAGAAUGUAAAAAACAGUUUUUCAAAAACAGAAGAAAAAAACAAGGAAUACAAACGUACCCAUAAAGUUUGAAGAAUUUACGCGGUAAAAAAAAACUAGAAACAAAACAACCAAAAAGAAUCAACAAAUUAAAUUAAUUGAGAGAUAAUUCGACAAUCAUUUUGGCACAAACAGACCACAAGCUAUAAUAUGAGAAGGCAGCAGUGGUGUCAAGCCGUGGAGAAUCUUGUGCUGGAAGGAAUAUUUGGCCUUAUUCAAAUGGCUCUCUCAAAUUUUUCAGACAUUGUCCCAUAGCCGACAGCUUUAAAAAAAAAUUUCCCGCUGACACGGCCCGGUACCCAUAGAUUUGUACCACAAACUUGUCAGGACAGUACAUGUCCGAUUUUUUUUUUUCUCGACCAUAAUCUGAGUAAUUAGCCCCCUUAACGAUUUUUUUUUCAAAUUGCUACUAUAAAGAGUCACAUGAUAGUCACAUAUCUGACAACUAUUAUAUAAAAAAAAUACCAAAAAUGUAAAAUCUUUUUGAUGAAAAUUAUUAGUCCUUAAACUUAGUGUCAAAAAUAUAUUUUACUUGAAAAAUUUUUUAGCUUUUAAACUAAGUACUUAGUAUCAGAAGAAUAUUUUACAUGAUACUUAGUGUCAAAAAGGAUAUUUUUACAUUUUUUUUGGCUUUUUUUAUAGAAUAGUUGCCGAAUAUAUGAUUAUUACAUGACUUUUUUCAGGUAGCAAAUCGGAAAAAAAUCCGUCAACAAUACUAAAUGUACUCAAUAGUUGAAAGAUUGGAUACCGAAUUUAUUUUCAUCCAAAAUUUGGAGACUAAAACUGCUCAUGGGCCAAAGUUUGGAUACAAAAAUUGCAUUUUUCUCAUUCAGCAUUUAGGGAUCAUGAAUUCAAUCCAUUAGCUCUGAUGUCAAACGGAUGACAUCAUGAGUAUAUCAUAAAUAUAUAUAAAUAAUAUAUAAAAAAAUCUGAAAUUGGUGUCUUAUAACUUUAUAUAUAGGUUUGAUGAGUUUAAACUUAACCCAAAGCAUUUCACUUCAAAAUUUUAAAAAGUUAUAGGUAAAAAAUGUAAUUUAGAAAUUAUAACAGGUUAAUUUUAUAUUUUAUUGAAACAAUGUGGAGUCAAAAUGAAUUUAUUAAUUUUAAGGCAUCUAAAGAUAAUAAAUACUAGACGACCUUGUUUGGAUUGUUGCUUUUCGCCAGAAAAUUACGUCGUUUUCCGUGAUAUUAUCUUUUUCCCUCACAUACAUCAAAUCGUUUCAGUAAUUUUUCCAUAAAAAAUGACGAAAAAUACAAUCCAAACGGGGACUUAGGCCUUAUUUGGAUUGCUACUUUCCGUCAGAAAAUUACGUUAUUUUUCGUGAUCACAUUCCUAUUACCUUUUUCCCUCACAUACAUCACAUCGCUACAGUAUUUUUUCCAUGAAAAAUGCAAUCCAAACACAAUCUUAGUUUUCUUAGCCGCCCCUUCCUUUGCUCUUCAUCUUGUAUUUGCUUCUUCUACUUUGUUUUUUCUUCUUUCUAUCCGCUAUUAGGUCCAUAACUCUCCUAUUUUCUUUUAUCCCACACAAAUCAAAUACAUACAAAAACUAUCUUUUUCUUCAUUAUUUUCUUUUUUCCUUUCUCUUUGUUCUCUUCCCUUCUUUGCUCUUUUCCAUUUUUUCCUCCUAUUUAACUUCAAAUCUUUCAAAACUUAGUUGCAUGAAAUCGGGCUUAGUUAAUUUAGAGAAUGAAAAAUUUCUUCUAAUGUAGGUUUAUGACUUUGUUUGACACUAAUUCUUGGCGUUGUUCAGAGAUCAAAGAAAUGGGGAAAAAAGUGAAGAAGAAGAAGACGCUGUCAGAAUGGCAAUGAGUUUGGUUUCUUCUUUUUUUUUUUUUUAGUUUGGAUAUUUUGAAGUUAUACACUUUCUCAAUGACUUUUAAAAAAUCCCUCAAUUUAGUGUAGAGGAUAUGGCAUUAGAUUCUCACAAAACGCAAUGCUUUCUCAUUUACUUUAUGCUACUUUGCUUCUAGUUAAUCUAUUCCAUGGUGCUUGUUUUUCAAAAAAAAAAAAAAAAAAAGGUCAUCAAAAUGGAAAUUUUGGGACAAAAAAACCCAGUUCUAAUCAAAUUUACCAAUUCCGAAUCAAACCCAAUUUUUAAUCGAGUUUAACUAAGUAUUUAACUAUCGAUUUUAAAGAGAUUUAGACCAAAUGGCUUGGUUCUUGAUUCGAUUAGUCAGGUCAGCUCAAAAUUUAAAUCAUAGGAUGAUAGAGGGUGCUAUCGCGGCAGGAAUGGUAAGGAGAGCAAUGUGGCAUUAUUUAAAUAUUUUUGCCCCUGAAAACUUACAAAUUUGGUUAAUUUAGCAUAAAGUGAUCCUAAAGACUCGUUUUAGGGAGUUGAAUGAACUUUUUGGCCUAAAAAAAAGAGGUUCAAUGACUAACUCGUGCCAUUUUAAAUUGUUUAGUGAUCAUUUUCAAAAAUUUUAAAAUAUAUUUUUAAAAUAUUCAAUUUUUUUUUCUUUCUUCUUCUUCCUUUCCCCAACUCAGCUACUACCAUCAUUGUUGACGUCAGUACCAGCACUACCAUUAUUUUCUUUUUUUUUCUCUCUCUCUUUUCCUCCUCCGCCGCCUUUCCUCUUCCUCCUCCCUCCCUCUCCUACUCCCCUCUCCCUUACCUUGCCACAUCUAGCCCUACAACCAGGGUGAAAGGAAAGGGGAAGAAGAGGGUAGCAGCAUAAGGGAAAGGAGAAGAGGGGAGAAAGAGAAAAGAUAUAAGAGAGGAGGAAGAGGAAAAGGGAAAGAGGAGAGAGAUGGAAGAAAAAAAAAAAGGCUAUCGACGGUGGCCAAUUUUGGGGCGAGAGAGAAGGAAGAGCAGUGGUGGUGGGAUGGGGAAGUGAUGUGAUGGGGAAGAAGAAUAGUAGAAGAAAGAAAAGAAAAAGAAAAAAGGAAAGUUUUUACACCCUUGAAAAAGUUUUCUUGCAAAUUCUAGAGUUAGUUACAAUAAAAUUUUAGACAAAUAUCUAAAAAAACUCAUUUGUCAAAUGGGACACCAGUUUGAGAUGAUAGAGAUCAUAAUAAAGUACACAUUAGAAUAAUUGUCCCUGAGCAGUUAAUGACCAUGAUUAGUCAUAAAGAAAAUGUAAGGCUAAAAUCAAUACAUGUUCAUCAUAUUUAAUGUCAUGCACGGGAUUCACAAAAAUAGGUUCUAUAAUUACUUUUUGUUAAAAGUGAAUUACAUCACGAAGAAAGUAAGGUGCAUCUUAUGAAAUUAGACAAAAAUCGAUACAAACGAUUGAGCUGACCAGCGUUUAUGCCCCAAAUUCGACGCUUGUAAAGACAGUGGCAGAGAGAUUUGGCGUCACGAGUGACUUCAAGUUCCAUACACUGUAAUCUGCAUUAGCAAAAGUUGGAAUUAAUAGAUUUGAUUGACGGCGGAGUGUGCACGUCCAUCAGCAUCGCACGCUACUCUGAAAACUAAUGCUAGCAGUAGUACCUAACACGAGUCGUGUGCUGCACUGGAGCUUGUCAUCUCGAUAACACCCUCCAUCAAUCCUUAAUAAUAAUAAUUAAUGUAUUUUUCCAAGACUUUUUACAAGUUAUGCAGAUUAAAAUCGGCACUCAGAUUUGCAUCGUCCGGGAUUCUCCACACCUACAAUUUACUGAAACCCCAGGUCCGAAUUUUCUAUCCGCCCUUUAACUCCACCAAAGGUCAGAAAGUUGAAAAGUACAAGUUGGGCUCUCUGUCUCCGUCCCGUCAUAUUAGCCCAAUUAUUAUAACUGAGUCAGCUGGCCGUUUGGAAGUCUCUGUGUGUGUGGUUUUUUGGGCCUUUUAAAAACGGCUUUGUCACAAUCAAGGUAGAAAAGCUAAGGCAAAGUAUACAGGCCUUAAUCCAGCUCAGCGUUCCACAAUCAUACCAGUCCAUUCGUUUAUGACCUCACAAAAUUUAACAACAAAGAGAACAGGCCUUUUUGAACUUUUACAAAAUAUUGCGGCCCUGCGAUUAACCACCACCAUCUCGUUCGAACACUUUAAAGUCAUAAACCACUACCAGCUGGAAACUCGGCCAGUUUUUAUCACAGUCUACAUUAUGUUUUUUAGGGAUUAAAAAAAUUGAAAUAUUAUGGUACAUAACCCGGUCUUGGACGGUUUAUUCUAUCAACGCAGGACACGUGGUACUUUUGAAUUCCGAGCGGUAAAAAUCGACAGCCAGAAAAGAUCAUUGGCUUCUUCCUCCUUCAGAGCUCUCUGCUUCGACAAGUAGACUAGUGUCUACUAAUGCGUAUGUGUGAUCACUCCUCUCUUCCUCCUCAAAUAUAAGAUUUGACAGUUGCAUGGAUAGUUCCUUUGAUACUUACUUGUCAUUUCAUAAUGCAACAACUGGAGACUGUAGGAGUAGUAAGAGGAUUCAUCAUUUAGAAGCAGCGGCGGAUUUACGCUGGGAGCACACUGCCGCUUUAAAUUUUUAUGUUACCUGUAAAACUUUGUUGUAAUUUCAACUGUCUCCUGAAAUUUUAUGUAUAUAUUAUUGGUUUAUAGGAAUUUUAUGUAUAUAUUGAUUUAUAGGCCCCCACUGCCUCUCUUAAGUUUCUAUAAUACCUAUAAAAAUUUGAUGUAAUUUCAAGUGUACUCCCUGAAAUUUUAUGUAUCUAUUGAUUUAUAUAUACUUUUAAAAUUAUCUUUGAUUUUACCUGUUAUUACAGUUAUCGUUUAAAGGAUUUUUGAAUGACAGUAAAAAAAUCGAUUACAAAAUAGAAUAGAAGACACUAGGAUUAAUAAUUAUUAGGUUACUUAUAUUAAGAGAGAUAUAUUUCGUAAAGUUCAAAAUGAAAAGGUUAUAAACCGUUAUCAAAAUAUGAAAACUUGUCAUGAAUAAUUGUAAAUGAUUUAAUUUACUUUCAAAAUAAAAUUAUUAUUACAUUAAUAAUUUUGAGUUUGUCUUUUGAUAUUUUUCAUAAAAUAUAUGUAUCAUUUGUACUUGUUGUUGAUGAAUUUUUUUUUUCCUUAAAAAACUAAAAAAAUAGUAGAUAAAAAAUUUGACCGAAAAUUUUUUCCCACUGUUUAGAAGUCACUUUUACAUAAUGUUGACGCAGGAAUCUUUGUCGACGUUGACCCAGAACCGGCUCCCAGCAGGCUAGAAUGCUUUCUCUCUCUGAUUGGUUGGGCCACUGCACCUCCAUCAAUGAGUUUUACCCUCUUAUUCUGCUCAUGGACGUCUGACGCUGCCCUGCCUCCAGUCUUGGUCUCGUUGAAUUGGUCAUUCAUCCAAGGGACACAAUCCGGCAAUCUCAAAACUUUCAUUAAUCACCUGCUAGGCAUUUACCUGCCCCUUUCAUUUUGUCCCGUUACAUAAUUAAUGCCCAAAGAGAAUCUUUUUUUUUUUUUUUUUUUUAUUAAACUUAAAACAAGGGAUCCCCUAUUCCCCACUAAAAUUUCAUAACAUAUACUACUGCUUAUCACGGCAGAAGAACAGUUCAACUUUAGUUUCUAUGAGCAAUUCCCCACCAACCAAGGCCAAAUGACUUUUCCUGGUCCCUAGACCAGAAAACUGUUGGAAACUCCCCCUCCCCAUUCAAAAAUCGAAAAAAAUACCCACCUUCCUCCUUCCCUCCCAGAAGAAAAAUAACAGAAGAAGUAGAACAGCCUUAAACGCAAGAAAGAAAAAGAAGAACCUUGAUUUGAAGAUCCAUAUUGCAAUCCUAAUUUAAGAAUGUCCCAGCAGAUGCUAGUAUAGUAGUACCAAGUAAUUGAACUAAAAUGACUACUUUUAAGAAGCCAGUCUUGCCAAACCCAAAAGAGUAAUCCAGCUUCCCAGUGCAUGAAUUACAAAACAACAACAAUUGAAGACAAAAUUUGUGUCACCAAUAAAUGAAAACUAUAAGAAGUAAAGGAAAGGCAUUAUGAACAUGCACUGAUCUCACUAGGAAACUAAAAAAGGGGGGGGGGGGAAUGGAAAGCUAAUUUGCACGUGUCUGGGAAACAAAAAAAAAAGGUCUCACUUUUCACGUUAUUGGAAUUGUCCUCCCUUAAAAAGAGAAAUUGAUACACCACCACCAAGUAAUAGGUUCUUCCGCAUUCACAUACAAGAUAUUCUCAAAAGGCAAAUGAAACCUAACUCAAGCAAUGCUCUGCACUACCUAAUCCCGGGCUAUGCAUGCAAACAUAGCCCCAACAUAGGACUUGAAACUGACUGUUCUAAGUCAAACUGAUAAAAAUAUACCAAUUUCCAGCUACAAUUAUCAAACUACAGGAAUCAACCUUGCCAUUCUUUUCUCAAGCUAAGAUUCCCGGUACAGAAUUAUUUGCCACUUUACACAUCAAUCAUUCGUGCUCACAAUUGACACACAAAAUGCCAUGUACCAAAAGUAUCCAUCCAGCAGCGCUGGAAUACAAUGGAUCAUCAAAUUGCUUACUCAAAUGAGAAGAACUAGAACAGCAGCAAGCUCAAGCUAAUCUCGAAAGUAAAGAUUUUCCCCUUAUGGCAAAACAUCAUCAAAAGGCAAAUUUGAAUGAUUGAUACUGAACCAUAAGCUAAACACAACCUUUCAAAUUAAAACUUUGCCCAUUUCGCCAAAUUUCUAUUCCUUCUCUUUUUGCCUAAAAUACAUCAUCCACUAUCCAUUCCAUCACAUCGGCCAACAGUAAUUUUCUCCAUUUCAUGAAAAUAAACUUACACAAUGAAACUCGCAAAUAAAAGAGAGAGAGAGAGAGCGGGGGGGGGGGGGGAAAAAUUAAAAAAAAAAAACUUUUCUUUUCUUCCCAGGGGCUGGCAAGAAAAAUCAAGAAGAAGAAAAAUGCGGACGUGGAGGAGGCAAUAAUUGGUGGGUCUGAUGAAGCACCUGGGUUUGAUUAUUGGCGGAGCUAGCACUAGCCAAGGAGGAGCUGGGAGAACUGUACUGGAGGAUGAAAGGAUGGCGCAACAACUGCGCGGCGGUCCACCGCUUAGCAGGGUCCCUCUGGAGACAAGAAGCAAUAAAAUCCCUAAACUCUCUGGACGCCGUCUGCGGCACCUCCGGAGGGUCCGACAUACAAAUGGCGCACAUGAGGGUGGCCCAAUCACCUUGCCUGCCGACCGCAAACGGAAACCUUCCCAAAUAGAAUUCCAGUAUGCUGACGCCCAAGCUCCAUAUGUCACCCGCAUAGCCGUCGUACUUGCCAUGAUUCAGAUCGGUGUUGAUUCUCUCGGGACUCAUGUAAGCAAUAGUGCCGACGGAGGAAUUGCAGGGAUCCAUAGUCUGGGCUAGGAUUCUGGAGACGCCGAAGUCGGCGAUUUUAACGGUCCUCUUGGAGUUGAUGAGGAGGUUGGAGGGUUUAAUAUCCCGGUGAACGAUCUUACGCUUGUGGAGAUAGUACAAGCCGGAGAGAAUCUGGCGAGUGAGAUCGGAAAGGGAGGGCUCGUGGGGGAUGUGGAUCCCCUCGAGGGAGCCCUUGUCCAUGUACUCGAGGAGGACUUGGAUUUCACCGUUGAGGUCGUUCAUGUCGUGGCAUCUAACCACGUUGGGGUUGUCGACGUCGCGGAGGAUCUCGAUCUCGCGGCAGAUCUGGAGGCGGACAGAGUCAUCGAGGUAGCCAUAGAUGACCUUGAGGGCGUAGAGUUUGCUGGUGGGACGGUGGAGGACUUUGUAGACGGUGCCGCCGCUGCCGCUGCCGAUGCGAUUGAUCCUCUCCAGCUGGGAGAAGUUUAGGGGAGGGGAAAAACAGGAGGAGGAGGUGGAGGAGGAGGAUGGGGCGGAGGUGGGCGGGAGGGGAAGGGGGACAGCUAACUUGGGGUCUCGCUGGGGAAGCGGAAGAGUAAGGUCGGGGCGCCGCCGCGAGCGGUUGCGAUUUGAUGCGGGGGAGGAGGAGGAGGAGGAAGAGGGAGGGGUAGCCGCGGAGGAGGCGGCUGGCGGCGAUGGUUGAAUCGGUCGCAUGAUUAGCUCUCCUCUAGGGGUGUUUGGAUUGAUUUGACCGACCGACCGACGGAUUAUCUAAACCACCUUCCAAAAAAUCUCCACCCCAAAAAAAAAAGAAGGAAAAACUAGCACUGUAUCAAUAAACAAACGGACGGACGGACGGACGGAUACUGCCCCCCCACCCCCAGUUUUCAAUUGGUCCGGAAUAAAUUCCCUCACCCGUGUUUGUUUUGGGUUGUCUUUCGUUGAAGAUAUAGAUGUCUAGGUUAUUGAUUGAUGACAAAAAUGAAAUGGAAUUUCUAUAAACGAACCCCCUAAAAAGAAAAAAAGGAAAACCCAGAGAAAAAUACAAAAUAAAAUCUGGGACUAGAAAGUAGCAGUACUAAAAUUUUUCUAGCAAAAGAAAAGCUUGGGACGAAAGAAGGGGAGGGGGCGGGGUUCGUGUUUUAGCAACUGGUAUAAUUGUUUAUUGGGCGGGUCAGGGUGGAUGGGGGGUUGUUAAUUGUUACGGUGGGGGUUGUUUCUGCAAGAAAGAGGGCAGCCCCAUCCCAUGGUGGUGGGGGAGGGAAAUGGAGGAGUACAAUUAGGGGAGAGGAAGGAAAUGGAAGCGAGAGAAAAUCGAGUACGGGAAGAGGAUGAGAAGAGCCUGAAGACGGAGAGAGAGCGGAAGGUUCUUGGAAGGAGAGAAAGACAAGGGUGACUUCUGUCUGAUUGAGUCGUGAAAGAGAAAGAAAGCUACGAGUACGAGUAGUUUGGUAGGAGAGAGAGACUUUUGCUAGUUGUAUUUUAUUUUUAAUUUUAUACUCCCCUCUUAUUUUUUAUUUUUUAUAACAGAUGUUUAAGAAAUUUAUUCUAGUGUAUUUUUAUCUGUCAUUUUAUUAUCUCCAUACAGUAUUAAUUAUUUUUUUUAUAAUCUUACCCUUUUAUCUCUCUUUUCUAAUAUAGGGUUCUUAAUUAUUAUUCCUAAUAAUUAUUGCUUGGUGGGAGUUAAUUUACACUGUUUUUGCCCUAGUGAAACAGUAUCAUUUAGUAUUCUAGUAAAAGAAAAUAUGAGUAAAUUGGACAAUUAAUGAGGGUACAAAAGAAAGUAGUGUACAGAUUUAAGCAAUGAAAAAUUUUUCUUAAUUGGUGUGCAAAAUCUUGAACGUCAGUUAUAAAAAAAGGGAGGGAAUAAGCAGCAGUAGGAGUAGGAGUAGUAAUAGUAGUGUACUUUAGGUUUGAAAUAAAUUUUUUUUUUUUGAGCUCUCAUUUAUUCUCUCAUAUAGGAGUACUACUGUAUCAAAGAUGAGGAGGAAAAAAAAAAAAAAAAAGGGCUUUGAUUUCAUGUGUAUGAAUGAUGGUACAUAUUGCCAGGCCACCAAGUGGGCGAUAGGGUGGAAUAGCAGCAAAAUGUGGCAUAUGGUGGCAUAGCAGCAAGUUAUGGGUAAAUUAAUUACAGCUUUGGUAGCAAUUGGUAGCGUAGAGAUCAAUUGCUCUAUAGAGAGUUUAUUCGUCUGAAGACAACUAUUGGUACGAACUACUGGUACUACAUCUUCUUUUUUUUUUUUUUGUUGUAAUUUUUAAAGACAAGUAAAAAAAAAAGGGAAUAGAAUUGGAUCAACUCCAGGUGCUGAAACUAAUUUGGCAUACUUUUUUUUUGUCAUUCAUCGCUAUUUUAUUUAUAUCCUAUUCUAUCCUAAUCUAUUUAAAUAGAGUUUUAACUGGACCUAUGAAGGACAAUUGAAGACUAAAUUUUCAUCGGACUAAACGGAUGUACUACGUAUCCGUUUGAAUUUACUUUUUUAAGCCAAGGGGCGAGGGGGGGGGAUAAUUGGAUCAACUCUUGGUGCUGGAACUAAUUUGGCAUGCUGGAACUAAUUGGAACUAAUUUGACACUCGUAAGAACCUAAAAAGAGUGGAAAAUGUAGUAGCUCCAUUUAAUGAAGGUGUGUGUGGAUGGGAACGGUCACACAAUUCGCAACAGUAAUAAAACGGCCAAGCAAACUUCGAGAGACUCAGAAAGUUUAUCGAGUCAGCGGGGGGGUUUUUUUUUUUUUGGCUUUUACGUUCUUUAAACAAGCAAGUGUAAUUUAUAUUUACAAUUUGCAAAUUUAUUAAAGCAAAAAAAUGCAUCAAUAUACUCACGUAGUAGUAGUUGUACGUAUAAACACGAGACAGAGUGGAUUUGAAACGAAGCACCAAAGGUCAAACUUAAACUUUGGUCGCAAGUUUGAAAAGCCCGUCUUCCCUCUCAGGUCCCUCCAUUUUCCCUUUUCCUGCCUUGUCCAAAAAAGAUUCCUCUACGUCUCCUCUCUCCCCCUUUCACACCGCCCCCCGAAGCUCCCCUCCUACUCCUCAGUCGCCACAAUAUAUAUAAACAAAAAAAGGAAGAAGCAAAGAAACGACCCCUCCCCUCCCUUGUUGUUGUUUAUGGCUUUUUUUACCUUCUCCUCCUCUUUAUUUUGUAUACCUGUAGUAGUAGUAGUAGUACCGGUGGACUACUUAGCAGGGAAGUUCAUUUUGAAAAAUAGAUGGCACGUUGCGGUCAGCAUUUUGUUUUUUGUGCUGUGUUUGUUUUUGCUUGUGUGAGCGUGUCCUACUCCUUACCUAAUAUAAUUGAAAUUGAUCAACAAAUUUGAUGCAUUGAUGAUAUAUUUCCUCUCCGCCUGCCUUCUAUCGUUUCGGGGGAAAAAAAAGAUGUAUUUUCUCUCCGCAGUCAGUCCCCAGAGAGAGAGAGAGAUGACUGAUGAGAUGGAGAGAUAUUCGAGCGAGAUUGGAUGGAGAGGUGAUGGUCAAAGCAAGGAAGGAUGGAGGUACGGGAGUUGACUUUUCGAACAAUGACAAAAGUGACGCAGGCUCAUUCUUAAUUCUUAUUGAUCGAGGAAUGGAUGGGUUGCCGCUCCACCGGGACGGGAACUCCCCCUUUUUUUUUUUUGGACAGAAAUUCUCCAUCCCCCAGCUGCCCAAAACCUCUUCACACUGGGACUUACUUUUUGAUUGAUAGGAAGCGUAUGGUUUACGAGGGUGACUGGUGCUUGUGGGUGGGUCCCGUCCUAGACUGCAUGUGGUAAGUUCCAGAGAGGCCAGAUGUCCAUCCGUCCCAUUUCUCCUCCCGACUCCUUUGCUUCAGAAGAUGUCCGUCUCCCUAUACGUCGCUGCUGCUUCUACCAAAAUAUCUUUCUUGCUGCAUUUCUUCUGUCUGUCCGACUCUGAUCCCGUUCCAUAACAACCAGCCCACAUUUUUGCCAUCACGAGACGACACCACCGUCAUUAUUUAAAUCCCUCUGAUCAAUAACUGGGCACUUCCCGCUCCUGCUCUUCUUCCAGCAUAGCGUCCGGGUAACCUACGCCUGGCUCUAACUAAAACCCAUCCAUCCACCUCCUUUUGCGCUCGUCUAUCAGACCCUCCAACGAAACCUGCUACUCUGAUGGUAAUCCCCUGUCUCUUGCCAAAAUCCCAAAAUAAGUAACAAACGCCCCCGCAGUUUUUGUUGCCCCGCUGAUGAACGCUAACCAUUGUUCAAGGUAACUAACUGCACUGUGUGUGUUACUAUAUUCAUUCAAGAUUCAGAUCCAGGCACAUAAGGAAAGACAACGGCCUGCCCUUUUUCCAGUGCUAUCCCCGCAAGCAGCUUGUCACCAGGAGCGAGCCCAAUCUUUAAGAAGAAAAGUAAAUAACUGACGGAAGGUAGCCUAUAAUUCACAACACGAAAAGCAAACAACUGUCCUUUUCGCACCUAAAGCAUAAUUUUUACAUUCGUAUCUCCACACUUUAUGUAGCAAAUACAAGAGAGUAGUGUCUUACGAUUGCAAGUGAGAGACACACGGACAUUUUUUUCAACGGCAGAAUAAGUAACAAAAUUCAUGGCUUUCAUACAUCAACAUGCUGGACAACUACACAGCUGUUGUUGGCCCGGGUUGACUACCCCAUGCAGACCUUUGUGCAAUUGGAAUUCACUGACAAGGAUUGGAUCUGAAGGCUUCUUAACCAGCAUGGCGUAGAGUGCUUGCGGAAAAUGCGUCUCUUUUUCUCCCUAAUAUACUUGAAACUUCCCAAUUCCACGUACCUAUGCAUUUUCCAACAGAGGUACUGUGGGUGGACCAUACGAAUAUCUCCAUUCCCCACAAGCCAAGCACCUCUCAACCUCAACACUGUUGUCUAGAGUGCAAAACUUACAAGACCAAACCUUUGACUUUGUUCCAUUGCUUGCGCAUUUCUUCGUUCCACAAGCUUCACAAAUAAGAGCCAGGGGCUGUAAAAUUUAAAUCUGGAAAGUGAGUACCUAAUUAAUGAAACAAAGAGGCAAAAGGUCGAGGUGGACUGGUCUUGAGAUGAAUUUAUAUCCGUUCCAUUAACGAAGAGAUAUGGUUGUCAUGUAAGAACCUACGCAGACACUAUCAGAUGCAUUUUUGUUUUUCCUAUUUUUCCAUUUUUGCAUUUAAGCUCUGGAUGGACAGAUAUCCAACAACUGGAAAAAAAAAAAAAAGGACAUUUACAACCAUUCGCAUGUAAAUUAAAAUUACACAGCAGUUUUUAGAAAACUGAUUGGAGAAAACUCCAUGGCUCUGCAGUACAGGAAAAAGCAAUGGGCACAUUUACCUGAUUUAUUAAGGUGCAAGUGCUGCACUGCCACGACAACUGAAGAUCUUUAGUACCACUGCUUUGAGCGUAGCCAAGAUUUGACAUCAGGUCAGAUUCAUUAUCGCGCACGGUAGAGGAUUGAGAACUUUCAGAAGAUCCUUCACUUUCUGCAGAUUUGGAACCACACCACACAUCAUCAUGUAAUCUCCUUUCUGCAGCCAUAGCAGCAGCUUGUAUUGGGCUCAGGGCGGCCUUAAUGCUACUGUCACCACCAAGUCGCAUUGGUCCAGAUGGCAAAAUAGCUGCACGCCGAGCUCUAUUUUCUGCAGCUGCCAAUGCAGACUGCCGGAGUGAUGACAAAGGAGGCUGAUGGGAAAAGCCACCCAGUCGUCUACCAGGGAGAUCAAAUCCUUGCCCAGUGCCUGUAAUUCCCUUAGCCAUAAGAUCUUCACAUUCCUGAAAAUUGUUAAUUAGGUAAAUUAGUUGUAGGGGAAUUAUCUAGCAAGUCAAUUGAAGGAAAAACUAACAAUUGACACUGUUAUUGAGACUACGGAGCUAAAUAUUGAACUGCAAAAUGGAAAAUCAAGCCAGGUGUCACCCCUCCCACAAACCUCCCCACCAUCCCCCCCCCCCCCAAAAAAAAACCAAAAAAGGUAACUCCCAGCCUGCCAAAACCUAAAGGAAGGUGCCAGGACAUCACGAAAAGAAAUUCCCAUUUAUGACAAAAUAGGAGAACUUCAGCCAAAAAAAAAAGGUUCAGAGUUGGAUCUUUCCCAGUACUAACAUAAACAUAUGAAAGAAUGGUAAUUGAAACCAGCUCUCACCGUCCUCUCCCACCCCACCCCACCCCAAAAAAUAAAUAAAUAAAUAAAAUUUUGCACUCCUGCCAUUCCGAAACCCAGACAGCAGGAAAGAAAUUUCCAAUUGUGCAAAUACUUACUAGGAGUACUUAAGGGAGAAGCAGUUUCAAGUUGGAAUUUUCACUUUACUAAGAUAAACGACCACCUUUCUAAUUUCAUCCAAAAGGUUGUAAAAAUCGGCAUUGUGGGGACCAUAUUGAUUGUGGCAGAGCUCAUGAAGCAUGGUAUCAAGAAUCUGAUCAUAUGGGAAGAAAUCCAACUCAUUGUUCGGUCGGCGCAAUCUCAGCUUAACUUCUGCACCCCCUCCUAUAUUAAGACCUAAAAGAGACGGAUUUGCUGGGCUGCAAACCAAAUUCUUUUGAUCAGCAAAGUGGCACAACAAAUGCUGAAAAUGCCUUGAACUGGAGAUGUGAAUGUGGAAAAGUAAAGCAAAAUCAUUACCAGAAUUCAGAAAGAACUUUGACUUUCCAAUUCCGUUUGCGCAUAAUGGGUUGCACCUGUUUAGCUACUCUUUCAAGAAUUUGCCUGGCCUCAUUUUCUCGAGUCCUCCUUAAAGGUUUGACUUCCCAGACCUUGUUAAGGUCGUUCAAAUCCAUGUGAAAUGGGAAAAUCUUAACCAAGAUCAUAACAAGUAAGAUUCCAUCAAUUCUAAAACAAAAAAAUUCAUGAUAUCCAAUUCUGAAGACCUAGAGAAAUGCUGUUUAUAUUAAAUCCAUCCUUGUCCAGGAAGUCUUCAAUUGACAAGCCAAGCUUACAGAUCCAAGACAUGAAUCCUCAAAAAUGCAAUAUCUUAACAAUUACAAAAAUUAAAUUUCUAGAGGAAAGAUUUCCAUAAUGACAUUAGGCAUUGGAUUGACUGAAUUUCCGUCCACUACAAAGUUGUUAAUGACUAUACUAUGAGAACUGUGUUUCACAAAAGAGUUAAUACUUCUUCAUUUGCAACUAUCAGGAAAGCAGAGUGUACUUGCCACAUAUCUAUCCGUAUAAGAAAAGAUGCAACCAGAUCACAGUAUGAAAUUCAAUUGGAUGCUACCAGAUCAAGGCAUGAACUCAAUUACCUCCCGAAAGCGUACAAUCAAUUGGUCAAUUAACUCAAUGUAUUGGUUCAAUCAUUUGGUAACAAUAUGGCAGUGCGUCUAGCACUAAUUAGUGGUGUAAAGGCGCAGAAUUGCUUCAGAACAUGGGUCGAAUAACUUCCAAUUUCAGAGGCAAAAUAAGUUAUGUCUCUAUAUCCACAAAAUUUGAUCUUUCUACAGAUACAGAGCGACAACAUGGGCAGCCAGGAUAAUUUCCAAUUUCCGAAGCAAACUCAGUAUGUCCUCAAUACCCAUAAAAUAGAGUAUGAUAUCUCAACAGAUAGAGUGAUGAGUAGCAUCCACGGCCACGAAUUUAGAGGAAAACAAACAUCGAAAUAUAAAACCCUAAUCAAAAGUUUCCAUCUUUUUUUAAUGUUGUCCCUUUUUACUUAUGAUUUCUUAAUCUUGUCCGUUGAACAACAUAAAGAUGAGAAAUUGUGGUACAAUUUUUAGUAGUAGGCAGCAUUUAGAGAAAGGGGAGGGGAGAGCAAGAAAAAAUUGAAAAAGGAAAAUACCUGGACGAAGACAAUUUUAUUGCAGAACCAAAAGCUUCAGCUAAAGUGCCAAUUGGUGUCUGUCCAGUCGACACAUGAAAUUCAAAUCACCACCUACUUUUGGUGUACGAGGGUUGGAGUUCAAAUGUAUGUAGCUAUGAAUACCCAACACCCUUUCCCAACUCAGCCCUUUCUAUUUUACUACUGGUCAUUAGAAACCUGAACGUCUGCUCCGUCCUGUACAAAGGAAAAAAAAAAAAAAAAAAAUCUUGUAACUGUACAAAUUGUAGGCGAGCGGCUGGCCAAAUAUGAUCCACACCGCAACUGUACUGUCGAGACAGGAACUCCGGCCACUGGAUUGUUUUUUUACAAUCGUGGACCUGUUUGCUAAAUGAUGGGCCUAGCCCAAACAUUUUUGUUAUUCCCUUUAUUGCUCCCCCAGUCACCCUUCUUCUCUUUUUUUUCAUUGGGUUUUAAGGUUGGGGGUGGAAUUUAAAUAGUCCUCUGAUAUAGUACUAGUACGAGUCAGCACACCAACGACGUCGUUCUGAGAAUAUGAUAAUUUGGCCUUUCCUACGCCACCGAAUCCGAUACAAUAGGCGGUGUGGUUCGUUCCCUGAUGAGAGAUGAUGCUAACUAAACUAACUGAAUUUCCCGCCAAAAACAUACGUCUGCAGUGACUCUUUUCUCCACUCCCUAGUCCCUCCUCCCUCUGCUGCUUUUACCGGAAUCCAACAACUCAAACAAAACCCACCGCCGCCCUUCCUCUCUGCCUCACCAACUGCUUUUCAAGAAACCCCCCCCCCCUCUUCCAAAACAAAAAAAAAAACGACACCCAAGAAAAAGAAAAAAACAUAAAUAAAUCCAAUCUUUCUUCGUCACCAGGCAACAAUGGCUAAACUUCCUUACUCUUACUCUCCAAUUCUGACGUUUUUAAUGGUUGCCGCUUUCAUUUCUUUGCCGAAAUCACUUUCCCAGCAGAGUAAUUCUCUCUCUCUCUCUGUCUCUCUGGAUUCCUCAUUUUUUACACCAUCCAAGUUCUUUCAACUUUCUGAUGAAUCAGCCAUUUUCCUGAAAUAAUUGACCUAUGAUGAUUCACAUUUUUGCCGUUUUUCAGGUCCAAGCUACAUGGGUUUCGUGUUCAAUGCCACGGAGAUGCCAUCGGAGGAUUACUAUGAUUACAUCAUUGUUGGAGGAGGCACCGCCGGCUGUCCUCUGGCCGCCACAUUGUCUGAGAAUUUUCGAGUUCUUGUUCUAGAAAGAGGCGGUGUUCCUUAUGGCAUGCCUAAUCUGAUGACCCAAGAAGGUUUCCUCUCAACUCUCGUCGAUCUUGAUGCCACUGAUUCCCCUGCUCAAGCUUUUACUUCUGAAGACGGUGUUCCCAACGCCAGAGGCCGAGUUCUUGGAGGCAGUAGCGCAAUUAAUGCUGGUUUCUACAGCAGAGCCGACCCGGAUUUCUUCAGGAAUUCACUAAUCAACUGGGAUCUUCGGGUGGUUAAUCAAUCCUAUAAGUGGGUUGAGAAGGCCAUUGUGUUCAGGCCUGAACUCAGGAUCUGGCAAUCUGCCAUUAGGGAUGGAUUGCUGGAGGCUGGAAUCGGUCCUUACAAUGGGUUUGCUUUGGACCAUGUUGUAGGCACCAAGAUUGGGGGUUCCACUUUUGAUAGCGCUGGUAGAAGGCACAGUGCUGCUGAUCUUCUUAGCUAUGCAAAGCCUUCUAAUAUUAAGGUGGCUGUAUACGCCAGUGUUGAGAGGGUUCUUUUCGCUUCUUCACCGGCUUCUGCAGCGCCCAGACAAUCAGCGAUUGGGGUGGUAUUCAGAGACAAGACGGGUCGGUUCCACCAUGCAAUGCUGCGGGAGAUGGGAGAAGUUUUGCUUUCUGCAGGAGCUAUUGGCAGCCCACAGCUUCUGCUCUUGAGUGGGAUUGGACCAAGGCCUUAUCUCUCCUCGUGGGGAAUACCUGUAGUGCAUCACCAUCCUUACGUGGGUCAGUUCCUAUAUGAUAAUCCAAGAAAUGGCAUUUCCAUUGUGCCCCCGGUGCCUCUUGAACAAUCAUUGAUACAGGUGGUGGGAAUUACCUCUUCUGGGGCUUAUCUUGAAGCUGCCUCAAACGCUAUUCCAUUUGCUUCCCGUGCUCACAAUUUUUUCUCUAGGACUCCGCCUUCUCCCGUCUAUUUUACCGUUGCAACCUUGAUGGAGAAGAUUGUUGGACCCCUGUCAGCUGGUUCUCUCAGAUUGGCAUCAACCGAUGUCAGGGUGAACCCUAUAGUAAGGUUCAAUUACUUCAGUGACCCUGCUGAUACUGAGAGAUGCGUAAAUGGGACGAGAAAGAUUGCUGAUGUACUUAGAAGCCGCUCCAUGGAGGAUUUCAAGUUCUCUCAGUUGUUUGGGGAUCGAGAUUUUAGGUACAUAGGACCACCAUUGCCUGUUGAUCUAUCGAACGACAGGCUGAUGGGAGAGUUCUGUCGUCGAACGGUCAAUACCAUAUGGCAUUACCAUGGCGGCUGCCUCGUAGGAAAGGUGGUUGACAGAAACUUCAGGGUUCUGGGAAUUCAGGCGCUUAGAGUUGUUGAUGGUUCAAUAUUCACAGUGUCACCUGGAACUAAUCCUCAAGCCACUCUUUUAAUGCUGGGCCGGUGAGUUCAAUGGUGAUUGAUUAAAAGAAACUGUUAAAAGACAGAGACUAAUUUCCUGUUGUUGUGUUUCGACAGGUACGUUGGCAUGAAGAUUCUGAGGGAGCGAACGAGAUAGAAGAAGCGCUUGACUUCAUUUGCUGUUCGGAUCGAUCAUUUCUAUCUUCGCCAAGCUAAAAGCAUUAGAUAAAUACUACUUUCUCUGCUGUUGUUGUAUAUUGGCUUUUCCGCUGACAUCUGGUUUGGUUUUGUCAACGAGAUGGGUACUUUUGUUGAUAAUAUGUUUUUCAAAAGUAAAAAAGAAAUGCAAAUUUAAGAAGUUGAAAGAGCUCAUACGUUUGAAUUUCGCAGCUCUUUGAAGUUUUUCAGGUUGAUGAUUCUUCUUUCGACGCCCGCUGUAACUCUUGUGUGAAUUGUACCUUAGGAUAUGUAAAAGGUUGAGCUUUGUUGGCGACCCUGUAACCAGAUAGAAUAAAUUACGAGAAAGAAAAAUCUUUUUUGUUUUCCUUUUAAACCAUUCAGUGGUUGGGAACUUGAACCAUUAGGGUGGGAAUAAGAAGCGGUGGUGGUUGAGAUUCCUUUGUCAAUCGGCUAAUGAUGGAUUCAGAAUGCAGUUUUAGGGUCAGGAAAAGUAAGCCUCAGAAAUUUUUUGUGUUCUGGCUCUGUUCCAAGUUCCAAUUCUUCUAAUUUAGCAACCAAUUCCAAUCAAACAAUAGCAUAUUCCGUGCUUCUACAUUCAACGUUCUCCUAUUUGCUGGACCUGAUCGAAUCAAUCCUAGAGAGGUGGUUGCCCUUGCCCCCCCCGGAGCUGGAAAGUUCAAAUGGUUUGAAACUUUGAAUUAUGGAAUAGUCUGGCGGUGGGCCACCCUUUCUGUUACUCCUCUGCUUGUGCAGUGCUGCGCUGUGCCGGCUGGUCGGGUUGGGUGGUAUGUAUACUUAGAGCAUCCAAGGCAAUGUAUAACGGGGGUAUAAUGCCCUCGUUACAUCAAGCCGUGCCGCGAAGAUUACACGUACAAUACAGAUGAUGCGUGUCAUGGAAGAUGCUAUGGCACCCAAACGGCAUAACAACACCAGCAAACAUCCAAAUAUAGCCAAAAUGAGACAGCAUUUUACUUGGUCAUUUUUUGAAACAUUUUACGACGGUCAUUUUUUGAGCCAAUCAUUUUACAACGUCCUUGUUUUACAACGACUAUAUUUUAGCAACGGAUAAUUUAUUUUACUUCCUAUAAAUAUACAAAGUAAUUUUUUUUAUUUCACCUCACAAUUGUUUACUACAUUAUCUCUCCUACUCCCUUAUUCAUUACUUUCAAUCUCUUUACAUAAUUUUAUAAAUUUCAUUAUUUUAUCAUUAUGGAUGAGAAUCUCAAUAGUUUUAGAAAUAUGUUAAAUAGUCCAAAUACAUUUAUAACCACAUUUUCCAUAUCAAAUUCCCAUGUAUCCUUCACCUAAUUAUUUUAAUUCUUCUAUGAGAAAUCACUAUACACCGGAGUAUUAUAACCUUGGUAUGGGUUGUGGAGGCUCAACGACUCCGUCGGAGAUAAGGAAGGAUUUUGAUUUCGCCGGUCAACAAAAUAAUGCAAUACCAACGGAGUCAAUUUCGAAUUCUCAAUUUCCGCCGUAUUCAACACAACGUGAGGUAGAAAAUAUAAAUCUCACAAAUGAGGCGGUGGAAGAACCUGACGAUAAACGCGUUCCAUGGAGUGUGGAUGAUGACAAAUGCUUGCAAAUGCUUGACUCACAAUUUCAAAUUGCAGCAUUGUGAGUAACUCUCAAAAUGGAAACGAGUCGUCGACUAUUUCAAUGAGAAUCGAAAAUCUGAACUACCAUGAAAAUAUAAAGUAGUGAAAUCAUAGUGACAUUGGUUGAGUCGGAUGGUUAAUGAGUUCAACCAAUAUUACAACAGAUUGGUUGGCAAACAUCAUAGCACGUGGGAAUGAUGAUCAGAUCAAGCAACACGCAUGUGAGCUAUUUCAUCAUAAUAAUAAGAAGUAUUUUUUACAUGAACAUAUGUAGGUGUUGUUAAAAAAAUGAUUUGAAAUGGAAGGUAGAUUCUCCUAUGCAUCGUUCUUCAAAAGAUAAGGACCGAUGAAAACGGGACAUACAUUUCUUCGUCCAAUGCAGAUUCAAAAUUUUGGCAUUGAUGAUAAUGAAACACGUGAAGUUCGCCCACCUGAUAAAAAAAACAUCAAAGAAGGGAUGAGAGAAAUGCAAUAAGAAACUAGCAUGAUGAUGAUGAAGAACCAACAAUCUCUGUGACUCGAGGUUUAGUAAAAAUUUUUCACCAUUAUUUUCAAAGGAAUGCAGAACUAUGUGAUCAGGAAGUACAUCAUCAACUUCGGUCGGAUUUGGUCGAGCAUAUUUUGGAACGAUUCGGAGGCAAUAAUAAUGAAAAGUAGUAUUCGUUAUAUUAUUAUUUGUAUUUUAUUUAAUUUUAAUAUUAUGUCAUGGAGUUAAAUUCAGUAGAUAGUGUAUUAUUAAUUAAUAAUGAAUUAUUAUGAUAUUUUCACCUUUGAGAUGUCACGUCAAUAAUUUAUUUUUAAAAAUAAUUGCUUUUAAAAUAAUAAAAUUAUUUAUUUAUGGGUUAUGAGUUGUGCAUUAUUAAAAUAAUAAGAGGAGAGAAAAUAUAAUAAAAGAGGAGAUAGUGAAAUGUUGAUGUGGCAUGUGGAUUCAUGCUAUUAUACUCUGUGAACAUAAUCCAUUGUAAAUGAGAGUGUAAUAAAAAGAGAAGAUAGUGAAAUGCUAAUGUGGCACGUGGAUUACACCCUGAAGGAUGUGUGUAAAUCAUUGUGGAUGUUGGAGGAGGGACUGAAACGAUUGUCAGAGACAACCGUUCCGGAAGGUUCACGGCCAUGAUUAAGCCAAAAAAAUUUGUGCGGCUCACAUCACUCCUUGUAACUCAAUUUUCACGCCGUGUGGGACCCAUAAAAAUGUUGUUUUAGUGUUAUUCGCUGUUGUUCUAUUAUUACACCUUAUACAGAUGAUAUUACAUCGUUUGCAAAUAGUGUUAUACCUUCCAAAAUGGUUGCUCUGACAACCGUUCCAGCCCCGGAUCCGUGGAUGCUAAUAGUACUACUAACCAAAUUGCAAAGACCUACAUUUUGAUUAUGAUAAUGAUGAUGAUGACGACCAGCCAAGGCGCCGCGAGCUCCCAAUAAUUUUUUUGGGAAUGGUUGAUUGACUUUGAUUUGUUCAAGUCAUUUUUUGUGGUCCUAUAUGAGGAAUACCUGUUCAAUAUAUCUUUUUAAAAGAAGAGGAGUCCAAAAGUAGUUGAAGAAGGAAAGAAGCUUGGCAGAACGUGAUUGGCCGAUGAGAGUAUUAUUGGUGUUUCCACUUUCAAUUCAUUUAUUCUGGCCCGCCGGAGCAACCCACCGAAAAUAACAAGACAUUCCAUUCAAUUGGGAAAGUGAUACACCAUCACUAUUGCUUACUACUUUUUUUAAAAAUUUUUUUUUAGAAGAAAUAAGUUUCUUCCAACUUGAAAUUGUUGGAUGAUAAUUUUGUGACAAAUAAGCUCUUAAACAAAAAAAUGCAUAGUUCAAGGGUUUCUAUCAAUUUUGAGCGUUAAAUAUAGAAAUUAGGGACAAAACCUUUCAAACAAAAAAAAAUUUAACCUACUAUUUGGUUAAAAAACCAACUGUAUUAAGUUAACUAAUAAUAUGGAAUUUAAUGUUCUUCCUUGCCUUUCACCUUCCACAUUUUCUAACCCUGAUUUGAUGAAAUAAUCAGUCAACGAAACUUUUUAGGUAAUUUUCGUGGGUUGAUUUUUUUAUGUAGUCAAUUUUACCCCUAAUCCCAUCACCUCUAAUGGCUAAAAUUGAUAGAAAUCCUUAAACUAAGCUUUUAUUAUUAUUAUUAUUAUUAUUCAAAUGCCUUAUUUGUGACAAUUUAUAGUUAAUGGGGUCAAAAUCAUAUGAAAGCAAUAGUUUAGAGGCUGUCCGAAAAAUUUCCUCAUCCUCAAAUAUCUUAGAUCAAAACCACCCCACAAUGCUCUGUUAUGUUUUAGUUAAUAACUUCUAGGCAGAGCUUAGUCAAUAAAUAUCUAAAAAUUUUGAAGCAUUUCAUUACAAAUUUUGUUAUAUCUAUCUAUAAUCAUUUCUAACCAUAACUCAUCUAAAAGCAUAUUUUGACAAAACGACUCACUCUAAACAUUGUAACUACUAAAGUAACAACCAUUUGAUGAGAAAAAGGUUGAAAUACCACCAUUUGCUUUAGUACUUAAAAUUUUAUAUAAAAUUAUUUCAUAAAAGAAGUAUUUAUGAAUUGCACACACAUCGUUUUUUAUGUGACUAAGCAUUAAUAAUAUAAUUUAUAAAGUGGGAGCAGGAGGAGAACUGGUGUAAACAAUCCGGCAUCACCUCUAAAAAUUUCGUUUUUACUCUUCAAAUAACUUCUCAUCGCUAACCCACUUCAACUCAAUUACUAACAUCACACGACCAAUAAAACACAUGUUUAUUAUUUAAACAUAACCGUGUACACAUAAAUUGUUUGAUUUUUUAUAUUGUUUUGUAUUAUUUUUUAAUUUACUACCACUGGUUUUUGUUGUAAAUAAUGAAUGUACUACAUUCAUUAGUUCCACAAAAAGAUUCUUUCUUUUUUUUUGUUUUUUGUUUUUUUUAGCAGUUGUACGUAUCGAAAAUAAUUUGCGGGGAACAAACAACUAUUGCAUCCUCAGGAAAGGGGUGGCCAUCCUUCUACUCGUACACUUUUGUGAGUGGAAUCUGGCAGCUCCAUCAAUGCCGAAGAAGCUCGACGAUGGCGCGUUAGUCUGGAAGACGAGACAACGACUUCAAGCUAUCUGUCACUUCGAUAACUACACAAACGUGCGCGAUAAAAUGACGACGACGACUUCAAUUCUCCCUCCCCCUUGCGUGCUUGUGGAGAAAAUCCUCGGUGACCGAUCCACAGCCAACAACACCCUAAAGUUCCAACGACAAAAUACUGGCAGCAGAAAAUGUGAGAAAACAAGAAGCACGAGCAUAAUUGUGGUACGUUUUAAUCACACUUUGCCCCCCACUUACUCAAGAAAAUUGUACACACACCCUUGCCUCCCUCGAAAUUGAAUCCGGUCAGUAUUACAUAACACCGACAAACCUUACCUUCAUAGGCACCAGCGAAGGAGGAUCGCCCGACUGCCCAUGUUGCAUCAAUAAUGUAAGUGCCAUCCAUACAAGGCACAAACACACAUGGUGGAAUAGUCAAGUUUUUUGAUUAAGAAGAGGGUAUCAAAAUAACUUCUCGUGUUAUCGGUUAGUUGUUAUAAUAGAGAGUUGUAGAAAUUAUAAUUGAAAUGAAGUUUGGAUUGCAUUUUUCUAGACUUUUUUUUUUUGUAAAAAAAUUACCGUAACGAUUUGAUAUAUGUGAGAUAGAAAGAUGAUUGAAAAAUAUAUUCACGAAGAACGUAGCAAUUUUUCUUUGAAAAAAUGGUCGUCCAAACAAGGUCUUGGUGGUCCAAAUUGAUGGAUAAGGGCAUUUGAAAUGUUGCGAAGAGUCAAUUGUCAUCCGUUACUUAUUAUAGAGUUAUAGGAAUUGAUGAUUUGCGUCAUCGCUUACUUAUUGUACGAAUUACUGUAGCACAAAAUCGUCGUCUUUUCGCUGCGAAUUCAUCCACACUGUUUUUUUUUUUAUUUUUUAUUUAUCGCAACAAUAGAUUUCUAUAACCUAAUCUAGCCUAUUCUAGAGGGAGGGGAGAGAAUACUCGAUGCGAGUAGAAACUCUAUCCACAUUGUUCUUUCUUUUCGUUGUGUGUGUGUGUGUGUGUUUUUUUUUUUUCUUUUUAAGUUUUGUCCUAGGCUCGACUCAAAUGAUGCUGGAAUUCAACAAAUGUUUAAAGUGGAAAGCUGCAAUAGUAAAAUAAACUUAAGCCAACGGGACGACUGGACGGACUCUCUACAGUCUACAUCAAGUAUUAAAAUUUUUCUUAAUUUAUAAUUAUGAUCGUACAAUUUCCAGCCUCGUACAAUUCCCGUCCUCCACCAAACCCCCGCAUAUUCCCUCACUGCUCUUCCUCUCUCUGGCAUUAUUUACCUAAAAUCGCACCACUAUUUAUACACCCACCACACCUACUCAAUUCUCUGGACUUUGUAUGCAUACUACUACGUAUGACAGGAUUGAUCGUCUCCAACAACCCUUUCUUAUUUUUUAUUUUUUUUAGAGAUUAGAAGAGGGAACCCAACCCCAGCCCAAUAGCCAAACCCAAAAAAAAAAAAGAGAGAGAGAGAAAGAAAUGCUAACACAGCAAUCACUACUCUACGUACAAUUAUAACACAUAAACCCGGGCCCCGCCGGGGGGGGGGGAGAGAGAGAGGGGCAUGGGGUUGGUUGGGGGCAUUUGUGAUGGCGGGCGUGGGGCAAAUAUUUAUACGAGGAAGCCCAUCAUUUUGUUUGCCUAGUGCCUACGCAGAGCACCGGAAAGACUGAAGAGAGAGAAAGAGAGGCGCGAGAAAAAGGAAAAAAAAAAAAAAAAGAGAGACAGCUCCGCACAACGAAGAUGGCUUCCUCUGCAACAGCAGCAGCUGCAGCAUUCAUUUCUACGAAACUCAUAACUCAGCAAUCCUCGGACUUACCUCCUACUUCUGCUCCUACUCCUACUAGUAAGCUUUCCUUCCUUCCCACUCCCUCCAACAACUCUGCUUCCUUCAAACUCCUCUACGCCCCAAAUAGAAAUAGGUCCUCUCCUCCUGUUCUCAACGUUCUCAAAACCGCCGUUGAAUCCGCCUCCAUCUCCUUCUCCGACCCCACCCCUCGCCGUGAUUCAAUCCUUACCCCUCCCAAACCCACCAUUCUUGUCUCCGAGAAGCUCGGAGAAGCCGGCCUCCAGCUCCUCCGCACCUUUGCCAACGUCGAUUGCUCCUACAAUCUGUCCCCCGACGACCUCUGCGCCAAGAUCUCCCUCUGCGACGCCCUCAUCGUCCGCAGUGGCACCAAAGUCACCCGACAGGUCUUCCAGGCUGCUCAGGGCCGUUUGAAGGUCGUCGGCCGUGCCGGUGUUGGAAUUGACAAUGUCGAUCUGCAGGCUGCCACCGAAUUCGGCUGCUUGGUCGUCAAUGCCCCCACCGCCAACACCAUUGCUGCCGCCGAGCAUGCCAUCGCCCUCCUUGCUUCCAUGGCUCGCAAUGUUCCUCAGGCUGAUGCCUCCAUGAAAGCUGGUAAACCAAAAUUUUCAGUUUCAUGUGCAAAAUUACUCGACUCUUGUGGAGUACUAUUAUUACGUAUCAUUCAUUCUUUCUUCUUCUUCUUUUUUUUUUUUUUAAAAAAAAUAUUUUCUUGGAUCAGAUCAGUUUUUAAAAACGCGGCUAAAAUAGUUGUUGGAUGGGAUCGGAUGUUUCUAUCCGUCUUCUUCUUUUUGUAUGGUAAUAAUAAUAUUUUUUUUCCAUGCGUUGUGCUCAAGUUUUGGCUUACUCGGCAGCUACGUACUGACAGACCGUUGGACAUGUAUUUUGGUGUAAAUAUAUUAGCAGCUGUGGGUUUCUUGUACACUUGAUACUCUCUUUUACUUUCCACGGCUGUUACUAGUAGGCUCAGUUUUUGAUCCUGCAACAUCAGAAGUUUAUGAUGUUUCACUCGUCAAACCUUCCUACUUCUCCAUGUUGCUUCUUUUUUUUUUUUCUGCCCUUCGAAGUUUUUAAGUUUUUGGUCUCCAUGCUGUUGAUAGUCGGAACUGACUUCUGUACAGAAGUUUGGGCUUAUGCUCAGUUAUUCUGACUACGAAUUACCCCAAAUCUGCGACAGCCUUCCAAGAGUAUGAAAUAAAUACUUGGUGAUAUAUGAAAUAAGUACAAUUUGUGCAAAUUACUUGGUUUACCCCGAUAUUGUGGUUGUCAGAUAUCAGCUGUUCUUUUAAGGGGAACUGGAGGAUUUGCUUUUAGGUAGCAUAAGCAGAUUCACCAACUGUUAUAGAACAACGUCGUGCCUUUAGUAAAUUUUGCUGCCAAUACAAUGUCAUAUUUGCUCGGAAUUCAAAUUUGGUCUUCUACUAUAAGGUUCAUAUUGACGGUUACGCUUGGACAUAUGUAGUUUAGAGCUUCAAAUUGGAAUUGAACAAGUUUGCAGAGCAAUGUGAUUUUCCAAUACAGCAUUUUAUUGUAGUUAGAUUUUACUUGAACGUGCAAAAACCAUGAUUUUUCCAGGAAAAUGGCAACGUAACAAGUACGUUGGUGUUUCACUGGUUGGGAAAACACUGGCUGUUAUGGGAUUUGGAAAAGUUGGUUCUGAAGUUGCAAGGCGAGCAAAAGGCCUUGGUAUGAAUGUUAUUGCACAUGACCCCUAUGCCCCGGCAGAUAGAGCCCGUGCCAUUGGUGUGGAUUUAGUCUCUUUCGAUGAGGCAAUUUCUACUGCGGACUUCAUUUCACUUCACAUGCCUCUUACUCCUGCUACUUCCAAGAUAUUUAAUGACGAAACAUUCUCAAAGAUGAAGAAAGGAGCACGCAUUAUAAAUGUUGCAAGGGGCGGUGUCAUUGAUGAAGACGCAUUAGUUAGGGCCCUUGACAGCGGUACAGUUGCACAGGUAUGCUCAUCGCGGUUUAACUCUUAUUUCUUUUGGUUUUACAGGUUAGAUUUUCCAUAUAUCAACCUUUCAGAUGUGACAGUCAAAGUUGGGUUAGCCUUCAGUUUGUACCUUUGUCAGUUACAAAAAGUUCUCUUAAGAGUGUGUUUUCCUUUGCUUGCGAUAUUAUUUUGUAUGACUUUAAUCCAAACUCCGGUGCUUCGUUCUACCACUCAGCCGUGUUUUUAUCCUGGCAUGCAACAGGCAGCACUUGAUGUGUUCACAGAGGAGCCACCGCCAAAAGAUAGUAAAUUGGUGCAACAUGAGAAUGUCAUUGUUACACCACAUCUUGGAGCAAGCACAAAGGAAGCACAAGUAUAGAUUUCUGUUCUUUUGGGAUUAUUUUCAACUGUAAAUUGACUGUCAUUUCUUACUUUAUCAUCCUUUUAAACACAUUCAGGAAGGCGUUGCAGUUGAAAUAGCUGAGGCCGUUGUUGGUGCAUUGAAAGGGGAACUUGCGGCAACUGCUGUAAAUGCUCCUAUGGUUCCUGCUGAGGUAAUCACUUAAAGGCAUUGAUGUUUCUAUGACCCUUAUUUGUUGUCUUCCAUUUGGCUGAGGUGAUCACUAGAAGACAUUGAUGUUUCUAUGACCCUCCUUCAUUGUCUUCCGGUUGGCUGCUGUACUCAGGUGAUGUCAGAGUUGGCUCCCUAUGUUGUCUUAGCUGAGAAGUUAGGAAGACUAGCUGUGCAGUUAGUAGCUGGUGGGAGUGGCAUCCAAUCUGUGAAGGUCGUCUAUAGAUCAGCUCGGGACCCGGACAACUUGGAUACCAGGCUUCUGAGGGCCAUGAUAGUGAAAGGCAUUAUAGAGCCAAUAUCCAUCUCAUUUGUAAACCUGGUAAAUGCUGAUUUCACAGCAAAACAGAAGGGCCUUCGGAUUAGCGAGGAACGAGUCUUUGUUGACUCCUCCCCUGAGUACCCUGUCGACUCAAUCCAAGUUCAAAUUAGCAAUGUUCAAUCUAAAUUUGCAAGCGCAUUGUCAGAGACAGGAAAUAUUAGCAUCGACGGCAAGGUGAAGUAUGGAAUCCCUCAUUUAACAGGUGUGGGAUCAUUUAGUGUGGAUGUUAGUUUGGAAGGGAAUCUGAUACUGUGCCGCCAAGUUGAUCAACCCGGAAUGAUUGGGAGAGUUGGGAAUAUUCUUGGAGAGAGCAAUGUCAAUGUCAGCUUUAUGAGCGUAGGAAGGACGGCUAAGAGGAUAAAGGCAAUCAUGGCCAUCGGAGUAGAUGAAGAACCUGACAAGGAUACCCUUAAGAAGGUGGGGGAAGUGCCUGCAGUUGAAGAGUUCGUGUUCCUUGAACUGUAGAGCGCUUUUGCUGGUGACAUGUUUUGGUGUCUUUCUGAGGAUUAUUUUGAGAACAAAAGGUGACUGCUGCUACCAAAACCAUGUGUUGCGCUCUAUCUACUUCCAGAAGGUGAGUUUUCACGGAAACCCUGUUGUAACUGUUCAUAGGGAUAUAAUUAUCUGUAGCAAAAUGUCAGGAAGUGAUUGUUGUUGCUUUGUUUUCAUUGUGGAACAUCAAUUGCGGUCUACUGCUGUAUAUUGGCUUGUAUUUUGUGUUUUUUCUGUGGGGCGGGCGGCCCUUUCAUAAAAUUUCAUGCAUUCUGCUUCGUAUUCAAUCUUCGUUUCAUGAUAUGUGAACGAAAUGUUCAUUCAAGAAAAUAUUUAGAUCUGACACACUAGUGUUCUCCAUUUAGCCUUUCCCAAUCUGUGAUCCAACUUGCGCUAUAUCUUAUCAGUUAAAACAAUUCGAUUCAACAACCAUUGCAGGUGAGUUACCAACUUUGAGGUUCUAUCAAGCUUCAUUUAAAUCCUUUCAGUUAGGAUCAUAUGUUCCAAAGACAUAGUCAUAGUCAACCACGAUAGGUAGAAUACCCCCAAAUAACUCCGCGCCCCCCCUUGGCCUCCGCCUCCACCUCCACCUCCGUUACCGUCACCAUCACACCCCUCCUCUCUCUCUCUCUCUGCAAAAGGACAAGAAGAGCCAAAAAAAAAAGGACCCUUUGCUUCCUUCCAAGUUCUAACACCACUUUCUAAAACGUUUCGUAAGCUCUUUGUUCAAAACUCCAAAUGUCGUUUCUUGUCCAGACUGCGCUUACAAAAAGGACUGGCAUUUACCAAGUUGCUGCGGAUGAAAUGAACGUCAAGAAAACUUAAAACAUCCUAAAAGACACAAUCGGAUGAUCAAGUGAAAAGGCACUACCAUCUCUUCUUAAACUCCAAAUCCAUUGUCAUCAUUAGAGAACUACUACUCAAAACACAAACAUGUUAAAAUUUUUUAUAAGAGCAAGUAGUCCCAGCAUCCCAAAAGAGGAAAUACAACACUUAAACGAAAAUAAUAAUGAGCCUAAAGAUUAUCCCUAAUUGGCUAAUGACGAAGGAGAAAACAUAAUAGGCAAUUGAAUUUGAAGCCAUUGCCCAAUUCAUACAACAAUUCUGGAAGAUACAAUUUGGCUUACCAGCUCAUACUAAAAGUUAAUAGCUGAGACAUAAAGCUAUGAAUAAGAGAAAAGCUAUUGAGUAUCUAGAAUACAUCAUCACUGAAAAUAAACCAUCCAAGUGCGCUGGUAGUAACUGAAACAUUCACGAACAUCUAGGCAUCAAAGCCAGGAACAUCAUUUACCC